GGGGCAAAUCUCAACACCUUUUUUCCAUGGAGAUACUUCCAAGAAUACUCUAUCUCCAACUUGAAACUCAAUUUCCUUUCUUUUCAAAUCAACAUAUGAUUUUGCCUAUCCGAUGCCGCUUUCAAACAGUCUCGUAUCACUUUAAAUUUCUCUUCAGUUUCUUUAAUCAAAUCAACUCUGUGAAUCUGAUUUUCCUUAAGUUAUGUCCAGUACAAUGGAGUUCAGCACUUCCUGCCAUACAAGGCCUCAUAAGGUGCCAUCUUCAAACUCGUCUGAAAACUAUUGUUGUAGGCGAAUUAUACUAGUGGCAAAUAUUUUUCCCAACUACCCUGAAAUUCAAGGACGCAACAUCGCAACAUAUCCUCAAGAAUCUGAAUCAUCUGCUCAGACUAACCAUCUGUCUAAAGGUGAAAAGCUGCACUAAAGCUUAACUUCAUACCCAAGGCUUCUUGUAAUUUCUUCAAGAAUCUCGAAGUGAACCUCGGGUCUCAGUCGGAAAUAAUUAAUAGUUGUACCCCAUGAAAUCUUACAAUCUCAGAAAUGUAUAAGUCGGCAAAUCUAUCGAGGGAAUAAUAUGUCCUCAACAGAAUAAAAUAAGCCAACUUCGUCAACUUAUCUACUAUGACCCAUACGGCAUUUUUCUUCUUCGAAGUCAAUGGUAAUCCUGUCAUGAAAUCCAUAGUAACUCUAUCCCACUUCCAUUCGGGGACAAUCACAGGCUGUAGAAAACCUGAAGGCACUUGAUGUUCAACUUUAACUUGCUGACAUACCAGGCAUUUCGACACAAAUUUAGAAAUCUCUCUUUUCAUGCCGUUCCACUAGUAUGUUUUCUUCAAAUCAUUGUACAUCUUGGUACUUUUCGGGUGAAUUGACAAACGGCUGUUAUGUGCUUCUUGCAAAAUUUUCCGAAUAAGUUAAUUGUUUUUGGGUACACAAAUCGUAUCUCUGAACAUCAAACAUCCAUCAGAAACAAUCCAAAAAUUUGAUUCAAUACCUCACUCACAUUGAGUUUGUUUAGCUUGAAAGCUAUCAUCAUUAGUUUGAGCAUCAUAGAUUUCAUGAAGGAAUGUCGGCCUAGCCUUUAGCUCAGCCAAGACUGAACCAUCAUCAAGCAAUGCCAAACGAGCAUCCAUAGCCCUUAAUGCAAACAAGGAUUUUCUGUUCGACACGUCAGCGAUCACAUUCGCCUUUCCCAGGUGAUAAUCAAUAAUUAGUUCGUAAUCCUUGAUUAACUCUAGCCACCUCUGCUGCCUCAAAUUUAAUUCUUUUUGAGUUAUCAAAUACUUCAAACUCUUGUGGUUAGUGAAUAUGUGGCAAGUCUCACAAUAUAAAUAAUGUCUACAAAUUUUCAAAGCAAAAACGAUGGCGGCAAGUUUUAGGUCGUGUGUAAGAUAGUUCUUCUCAUGCGGCUUCAACUAUCGUGAAGCAUAGGCUAUUACUUUGCCAUCUUGCAUAAGUACACAACCCAGUCUAUUUGAGGAUGCGUCACUGUAGACUACAAAUUAUUUUCCCGACUCAGGUAAUACUAAAACAGGAGCUUCAGUUGACAGUGUUUUUAACUUCUAAAAACUUUGUUGACACUUUUCCGUCCAUUCAAACUUAAUGUUUUUCUGUAACAAUCUCAUCAUUGGAGUUGCUAUCAUGGAGAAUCCUUUCACAAAUCUUCGAUAGCAACCAGCUAAGCCCAAAAAGCUUCUAACCUCAGUUACAUUUUUAGGUGGUUUCCAUUCAAUAAUAGCAGAGAUCUUACUUGGAUCGACUAGGAUGCCUUCACCAAAAACAAUAUGACCUAAAAAUCCAACUUCCUAAAGCCAAAACUCACUCUUGCUAAACUUAGCAUACAGCUGCUUUUCCCGCAAAGUCUGCAACACAAUUCUCAAGUGCUUCGCGUGCUCUGUCUUAUCUUUGGAAUAAAUCAAUAUGUCGUCAAUGAACACAACGACAAACUUGAUCAAAUAUGGCUGUAAGAUCCUAUUCAUUAGGUCUAUAAAUACAGCUGGUGCAUUCAUCAGCCCAAAUGGCAUGACAAGAAAUUCAUAAUCGCCAUACCUUAUCCUAAAGGCUGUCUUAGGUACAUCCAAUUCUUUAACUCGCAACUGGUAAUAGCCAGACCCUAAGUCUAUCUUAGAGAACACGGUGGCUCCUUUCAACUGGUCAAACAAAUCAUCAAUCCUUGGUAAAGGAUACUUAUUCUUGAUAGUUACCUUGUUCAGUUGGCUGUAAUUUAUACAUAACCUCAUCGAACUAUCCUUCUUCCUUACAAAUAGAACGGGAGCACCCUAAGGUGAAAAGCUCGGCCUUACAAAACCUUUAUCCGUCAGCUCUUGCAACUGUGCUUUCAACUCUCUCAGCUAGGUUGGUGCCAUCCUAUACGGAGCAAUUAAAAUAGGAUCUGUCCUUGGCACCAGCUCAAUACCAAAUUCUAUUUCCCUUUCAGGAGGUAAUCCGGGUAAUUCUUCUAGAAAUACAUCUGGGUACUCACAUACUAUAGGCACAGAUUCAAUCUUCAACUCUGUUUCCUUAGUGUUCAAUACAAUUGCAAGGUAGGCUUCAUACCCUUUUCUCAUAUAUCUCUGAGCAACCAUUGCCGUGAUCACAACCGAAAGCGUACCCAACUCUCUUGAAUCAACCCAUAGAAAUUCACCAUCCGGACAUUUCAAUUUAAUAUACUUACCACCAUAAUUUACAAUUACAUCAUGCAGUGCUAACCAAUCCAUACCAAAUAUUAUAUCAAAUUCAUCAAAUGGUAACAACAUAAGAUUAGCCAGAAAACAAUGACCCUGAAUUGUCAAAGGACAAUUCUUACAGACUUUAUCAACUAUGACUGAUCUGCCUAGUGAGUUCGACACUUUAAUAAUAAAUUCCGUAGGCUCAAUGAGUAUGUUCAUUCUAGAUACCAAGCUCAUACAAAUGUAUGAAUGCGUCGACCCCGGGUCAAUUAAGGCAAUAACACAUGUAUCGAAAAGAGAAAAAGUAUCCGUGAUAACAUUAGGAGCAGAGGCUUCCUCUCGGGCGCGUACCGCAUACGUUCUUGCCGGAGGUUGAGCCUCUAAUUUUGCAGCAUCUUUAACCACAACUCAACUGUCACUGGCACUUCCAAGAUAUCUCGGAGGUCUACCUCAUGAAAUGGGAGUACUCGACUUCAGGGCUACUUUCACUUCUUUCUCGACUCACUCUAGGCAGUCCCUGAGAAAGUGGUCAAGAGAUCCACAUCUGAAACAUGCACGUCUCUUCACUCGGCACUCUCCGAAGUGAAAUUUGUUGCAACUCCUACACUUCAGCUUUUGAUCAUCUACACUCCCCACACUAGUUACCAUCAGGGAGGAAGACUUUUGGCUUCUUCGUUUAGAGCUUCUCGCUCUACCCAAAUAUCCUACUGAUGAAAUGGAGCGUUCAUGCUGGCUCUUUGAUUUCUUGUGGGAAACAAGAGUGUUCUACCACUAGACCUCUUGCUCGCGGCUUAGGCCUCUCUCUUUGUUUGCUUUCUUUCGUUGUUAAGCUCCCCGACCUUCUUGGCCCGAUCAGCCAAUGCAACAACCUCUCAUAUUUCAAGGAUCCCAAUCAACAACUUAAUUUGCUCCUUCAGACCUUCCUCGAAGCGUUUACACAUUUUUGACUCGGUUUGGAGCCAUUCAGUUGCGUGCUGACUUAGCCUCACGAACUCUCGUUCAUAUUCUGCUUCAGUCUUGUUCCCUUGUUUGAGUUUUAGGAACUCAUUUCGUUUCAAGUCUAGAAACCGUUGGCUAAUGUAUUUCUUCCUAAACUCUAUUUAGAAGAAAUCUCAAGUGAUAUUUUCCUUUGGCACUACCGAGGAUACAGUCUUCCACCAAUGAUACGCAAUAUCUUUUAGGAGGGACACGGCACACUUCAAACGCUCCUCAGGUGUGCACGACAAAUCAUCUAACACUGGUGUAGUAUUCUCAAGCCAAAACUCGGCUCUUUCAGCAUCAUCAUCAACUUUAGCUCUGAAUUCCUCAGCCCCAUACUUUCUAAGCUUAUCAACAGGGGCUUUACCAAUUCUUACCGGUGCCCUACCUCGUGGCACAUCCUCAUUAGGUUGGUUAGGGGGCGGGGGAGGUCUUGGUAUGUUGGGGCGAUUCCUCAGGUAAUCCCCAAACCAUUCGUCCUUCAUAAGCCUUCUACUACUACUAGUAGAUACAGCUCGUUGUAUGAAAGCUGGAGCAUGGCUCUCAGCUCCCUCGGACUCAUCUUGUGUUUGAUUGGAAGACAUUUACUAUAUUCAAAACAAUUUAAACAGUUAGGAGACGUCAUACUAUCAAUAUUCGAAUGAUGGUAUGUAUAGCAAACCUCAAUACUCUCUACGAUAGUCCUAGAACUGACUAAAUCGUAGCUCUGAUACCAUUAAAUAUAACACCCUUUACCCGUUACUUGAGAUUCUCGUUCAUAAACAUAUUAAAUCUAAUCACUAAGUUGCACUCUAAUUUAAAACUAUUCAAAUAUGUAUAUCAUUUCCCUUAAACAAGCCUUCGAGACCUGAAACAUGCCUAGAUGCAGUACGGGACAAAACCGAAAACGUUUGAUAAACUUGGGGCACCUUGGAAAAUUUCUUUUAACUUGAAGUGUCACACGCCCGUAUGACUUGGGACACUCCCGUUCAAUCACCCCGUGUCCAAGACUUGAGCAUUCUAUUAAAUUCACACGGCCAAGACACACGCCCGUGUGUCUAGCCCGUGUUCAUUUAACAGACUUACCAUUUUAGAUGCAGGGGACACACAACCAUGCCACACACCUACGGGUGUGGCCCGUGUGUCAUACACGGCCUAGGCACACGCCCGUGUACCCAACUGUGUAAACCCUAUUAGGCUAUUUUCCAAGCCUAUGGUCACCCCCUUUUUAACACUUAUACUUAAUGAAUAUUAAAAACGAAGUAAAACAUGAUUAUGCUCUUAUAAAUGAUCUUUGCAAAAACUUAUUACGUGGAAACCUCAUAUCAUUAGUUUCGUACAUGCUAGGUUAUUUCCCAUCUUGUAUUUAUGUGUUGCCAUACCACUUUAACACAUUCAAGAUUGGCUCGUUCUUAUGACUCAUUGCCAAUUGGAAUUCAACCAUCGCACAUGAUUAUAAACUUGCAUGGAAAUUUUGUAGGUCAUAGCCUACUUCAAAAUAAGCCAAUCUCCAUGGCAAUAUACAAAAAGAUAGAAUUAUCUUUACAUGCUUUCAUUUGGAAAAUUAAAUGACACAUAUAACAAAAUACUCAAAAGACCUAUACAUGCCAUUGAACAAAUCAAAAAUGUCUUUAUACCAAAGCUGAGCUAUUUGAUAAUAUGCUGACUCUCUAACCGUCUUCAAUCUUUACGAGUCCUCGAGCUCUAGGAGAGACAGGGAAAAGAGAGGGGUAAGCAUUUUCAUGCUUAGUAAGCUCGAAUAACUGGAAAGUAAACUUACCAAGUAAUUAGCAUGCAAUCAAAUUGGGUAAUAAAUUCAAUGAGCAUAGGAUGGCUUCCCUGUAGCACCCCAAACCCGGCCUAGACGUUAUGGUCGGAUCCGACAUGCCACAUCGAAGCAUUCAAAACAUUUUAUAUUAUUGGUCCAGAAAAUCUUAUUUAGUGUUUUAAAAGAUAAUUUUAUUAUAGGUUAAAGUGAAUGGAAGCUAUGCACCAGGUAGGAAACCGAAAAAGAGGUGGUGAGUCCAUCGGACUGCGUAAGUACCAAGAUCCCUUCGGAUCCAAUCCUAGACAUGCAUACUGCCAUUGUCACACCUUAACGUCAUGGAUAUUUCUAGGAAACCGAUUUGAUUAAGUCAUUUUUAGGAAAAGUGAUUAAUUUUGGAAAACACUUUCAUUGCGGAAGCUUUAUUUGUUGUCGUGUUAUUUUGAAAUCAAUUGUUGUUUUUGAAAACGCACCCUAAAGCUAUCCAAUUUCAACAGUUAAAAUAAGUAAUACCUAUCUUAGUAAUACAUAUUAAAACCAUCAAAAAUAAUUAAGUGGCCUUAUUACAUUUAAAAACCCAAAACUUCAAACGUAAAUAACAGGAUAUCCAUUUCACCGGAAGAAAAUCAAACUUUCAGAAUGGGUGGCCACUCCAAAUUCCCUCACAACUCUAAGCCCACUAUGGUUGGGGAUUUCCUGCGUGGAUGAAAAUAAAAAGGGUGAGUUUGGGGAAACUCAGUGUAUAAGGAAAACCCAUUCAAAGCCCAAGUCAGCUCAAGCCAUUGGGCCUAAGCCCAUUCAGGUAACAGUGGUACUGGGCCAGAGCCCUUUUCAGAUUACAAUAAACUGGGCCUUAGCCCCUUAUUCAGAUAACAGUAUGGCCCAUAGGCCCAUUUCAAAAUACAUGCAACAUCAAUAACAUAUGCAAGCCCAUUUGGGGAGACUACUCAACCCACCAACCACUACACUCCACCCGUACCAGUCAUACACUCCAUGUGGGGAAUAGCUCAACCCACCCAGCCCAACACUCCACAGUUGCAGCCUUGCUGCUCAGUUAACAGUAAAUUGAGGCAAAGCCUCCAGUACGUGGACAAGCCACUUUCAGUACUUCCUCCGUCAAUAUCCCAGUCCCAUGCAUCAGAUAAUAACAACAUGGCAUGCAGUAAAUAACAACAGUCAAACAUGCAUUUAGGUCAAUUUAACCCUAGCGGUAUUUCGAUAAUUUAUCUCCUAGGGAUAAAACUGUAAAUUUUCCACUUUUAAAGGUAUUUCAGUAAUUUAUCUAUUUUAGGGUUUUUCAUGCAUAUUCCUACCUUUCACGUACUAACAGAAUCACGUACCGAGGGUUCUUACCGAAUUGGGCCCGUUGGUCAAUCAUUCCAAUUUUGGCCCAUUAAGCCCAAAAAUAUCGAGGGCACAAAAAUCAUGCACUUUGCAGUCCAAACACUGCAGCUUACCAAAAACAUUAAUCGAUUUACCUCACGAGCAUUCGCACACUCGCAAAUCUACAAAAUAUCGAUUUUUGACAUUUCGGCUUUUUGGCUUUUGCCGAUCUAGACUAAGAAAGAGGGUGUUAGUUACACACCUGUUUGCGACGAUAUGCUGACGAGAUCCACACACGAACUGCCUACAAUUGGAUUACUAACACGUUAAUCUAACUAUUCAAAUACAAACUACGUAUUAACCCCUUACAAUAUUCGGCCAACCACACCUACAAAUCAUAGUAAGCUUAUAAGAAAUCAAUAAGCAACUCAUUAACAAAUUUUUAUCAAUGUUUACCACAUAAUCAUAAUUUCACUGCAAGCUAUCUUCCUGAGCAAUAGUCACUAAAUUAUUUAUAACUGGAGCUACGAAACUCCAAAUCAAGUGCCAUUAAUUUUCCAUGAAAAUAGACUCAUAUAUCUUCUAUCCAUAAAAUUUCAGAAUUUUUUGGUCUAGCCAAUCAAUACCAGAUUUUUCUCAAAGUUUCCCAUGUUUCACUAUUUGACUAAUCUGACCACUCUUCAUUACGAAUCAAAUUUCUCAUUGUACAGAAUUUAAAAUAUGUUCUUGUUUAUUUCAUUAGAACCUAGACUCAAUAAGCUUUAAUUACAUAAUUUAUUCAGCUUCAAAUUCAUCUCCCACAAUUUAUGGUGAGUUUCCAAAGUCACAUUACUGCUGCUGUCCCAAGCAGAUUUAUUACCAAAUCACUCUUUCACACAUACCUUGCAUGCAUGUUAUUUAAACAUGUAUAUCACCAAUCAAUCAUCACAUAUCUAUGAUUUUACUUAAGAAUAAUCUCCAUUUCAUCAUUUUAAAGCACAACAUGUUAGCUGAUUUUUCCCUUUAACAUCUAAGGCACAUGCAUGCUCAUUUGUUUGGCUCAACUUCACCUAUCUUCCAUUUUUUUCAUCAAAAGAACAUGAAAAAACAACCAUUUCCUUAAUUUUAAUUCAUGACUAAAUGCUCACAACACAACUAAAAACCAAAAUAUGCUUCAAGAGUUAAGGUAGAAUCAAGAAGAACUCAUGAACAUCAAGAUAGAAGCCAACUACCAUGAACUUACCUUCAAUUUUCUUCCCCAAGUGACCGAACACUCAAGAGCUUUCUCCUCUCCUUUCUCUUCUCUAACUUUCAGCUAUGAUGAACAAAGAUGGACAAGACUUUGUUCUUUUCACCCCUUUUUCUUUUAAUAAAACUUCAUAUUUCAUCCAUUUAAUUCUUUAAUACAAAAGACAUGAAAUUCUUAUCAUGAAACAUUUACCUAACCCAUUAUCAUGAAACAUUUACCUAACCCAUUAUCAUGGAACAUUUACCUAACCUAUUAUCAAUUUAUAUCAAUUUGUACCAUAAAUUAUGGAUAUCAAGUGUACAUUUUGUCUACAACAACAUGAUGGCUGGCCACUUCAUGUAAAAUGGGAGGUUUGUCAUGCAAAUCCUCCUAUUUUGCACUCCUAUUUAUUUGGUCACUUCAAUUUAGCCUAUAGCAUUUUCAAACAUUUUCACAUAGGUCCUAUUUCAUAAUUUCACUCACAAAUGACAAAAAUUAAGCAUGAAAUUUUGCCAACAUUCACAGAAUUCCCGAAAAUUGGGGCGUUACAUUCCCUAUCACAUACACUCAAUCAAUGAGUUAGUCACAUAACAAUGUAUAAUGAAAGUUAUCUUAGAUGAGCUCAUCAUUCAACAUCUCAUUUUGUACAUAUAAGUCAUGUUAAUCUUGUUGAGUUUCUAGAAAGUCUCGAUAGAAUACUUAUUAACCGUCAAUUCGUAUGAAUUAUCAUUUCCAGUAUGCACUUCCGCGAACAUCACAUCUCAUGGCAGGAUUACCAGUCCAGGCUAAAUCCCCCAUUUUAUGAACUCAUAAGGUGAUGUCAAGAUUACAAGUCCAGGCUAAAUCCCUUAUAACAACAAACACCUUUAUUGAGCUUGGAUCUGAAUUACCAGUUCAGGCUAAAUUCAGAUCCUAAUCGGAUUACCCGUCUGGACUAAAUCCAUAAUGCACACAUAUUCUUCGGGAGGCUUGACCAUUUAAAGGAACACCCGUCCGGGCUAGAUCCUUUUAUAAAUGACAUCAACGGAUUACUCGUCUGGGCUAAAUCCUUACUGCAACACAUGCAGGACUUCAUUACACAUGUCAAUCAUGGUUUAUCCAUCGAAUUCCCUUUUUAACCUCAACCGAGACAUUUAUCACAAUUCAUACUUAAACAUACAUUUCAUAAAAUUUCAUGUUAUUAAUAAAUGCAAUCAUCAUGCAUUCAUAAAUCAUAUAAUUAGGCACAUUGAGUGUUUACUUUAAGUUAUCCGAACUUACCUGGUAUUCAUUUUGGUGUCGUGUUUUGGUUAUUUCGAAACCUUUCGUUUUCCUCGAUCGACCUCCAGAAUUUGUUCCUCUAGGUCUAUAACAAUAAAAAUAGAUCAUAAACACUCUAAAUUAUAUAUUUCAAGUCUAAAUUCCACCCCCGAUCCAAAUGACCGUUUUGCGCCUAACCUUUCACAUUUUUACAAUUUAGUCCCUAGGCUCGUAUAAUGAAAGGCAUGCAAUUUCUACCUUACUCAAGCCUAGCCGAACACUUUUCCCUCUUAUGGUAGCCCACAUUUUUCAUUAUUUCCACAUUCCUGCCACACAUUUUACAACUUUUGCAAAAAGGUCCCUUUAGGGGUUUUUCAUGAAAAUCACCUAGAAAAAGUUGUUUAACACACAUCAAACUUUCAUAUUCCUCCAUAAAACAUCAAAAUACUAGUAACUUAUGCAUGGGUAAAUUUUUAAACAUGAACCCUAGCAUGAAAUAUUGGUAGAAAUGGAGAGAGUAAGCUACCGAAAUCUCAAAAUUAAGAAGAACAUUAAAAACGGGGCUUGAGAACACUUACUAAUGAGCUUGAAAAGCUUGGAAACCCUAGUUAUGGUGGCUUGGAGAUUACGGCUGGACAAGGGAGAAAAAUGGUUAAUUUUUUCCUUCUUUUCCCAUUUUAUUUCAUUAAUAUGCCACAUGACCAAAAUGCCCUUAAGCCCUUUCUUUGAAAUUUCAUCAAUGCAAGCCCAUUUUUGUCCAAAAACUUAGAAAUUAGAAAAAUUUCUCCCCAAGACCUUCUAUUUUAUAAUCUAAAGCAAUUUCAUACAAAUUGCUUCUAGAAUCCAAGUUUUGCAAUUUAUUCAAUUUAGUCCCUAAUUUUCCAAUUGGGCACUUACUCAAAGAAUUCCUUCAUGAAACUUUAACACAUGUAUAUUCUCAUAUUCUAAGCCUCGUAAUAAUUAUAAAAUAAAUAUUUUGAUGUCGUAUUUGUAGUCUCGAAACCACUAUUCCGAUUAGGCCCUAUUUUGGGGUGUUACAUAAUUUACCAACUCCAAUGUCUUUGGGAAAAAUUUUAUUGCACAAGACUAUUAUAUCUUCCUCACUCAUAUGACCUAGUUGCAUGUGCCAAAGUUUUGUUGAGUCGGAAUCGAUGAAGAAAGAGUCACGUCGUGUCGCCGUGACGUGGUGGGAAUUUCGACUUUUCUUCAGUAAUCGCAGCCACACCAGUAAUUGUUGACCCUUGCAAAACGUAUAGGCUGCCCUUUUCCUCUCCCCUCAUCAUAAAAGAGCCUCAGAGAAACUUUUAAGUCAUUUGACUCAAUGACUAUCCUGCAACCAUUAGAAUCCAAAAUUCCCAAUGAGAUAAGAUUUUUCUUUAAAUCAGGAACAUACCUGACAUAUGAAAGUGUUUGAAUAAUCCUGUCAUGCAUCUUAAUUUGUAUCGUUCCAAUUCCGAAUAUUUUACAUGGGAGAGUUAUUCCCGAUCAGCACAACUCCACCUUCAACUUAACUAUAUGUAGAGAACCAGUCCCUGUUGGGAUACAUGUGACAGGAGUACUCUGAAUCUAAGUUCCAUUCAGAAGUAAGAUGAUAGCUUUUGCUCGUUGACACCAACAAGAAAUUAUCACAUUUAUCCUCAACUACACUAGCAUCAACAACGUCGGCUUUUUGCUUAUCUUUCUUAUCGUUUUCAUCAUCAUUUUUUAUAUUAUUUUGAAAUUUCCAACAUUCUGCCUUAACAUGGCCCGCCUUUUUACAAUAACCACAAUAUUUGUGAUGAUUUCUGGAGUUGGACCUUGCUUUAGACCUAUUUUGAUCUGUCUUUCUGGUUUGUCAUUUGCCUCUUGCAACUAGAACUGAGGUUUGCCCGUAUGAUUUUUUGUUUGGGCUUAACUCAUUAUUGAGUUUAUCCUUACUCAGAAGAUUCCCCUUCACAUCCUCGAACGAGUGAUGGUAUCUCCCAUAAAUCAAAGUUUCCCUGAAAGUUUUAUAAGAAAAAGGCAAAGAGCAUAACAAUAACAUAGCUUGAUCCUUAUCACUAAUAUUUGCUUCGAGAUUCUAUAAGUCUUUAAAAAGGGUAACAAACUCGCUAAUAUGAGUUUUGAUGGACUCACCUUUAGCCAUUCUGAACAUGUAGAAAUGUUGUUUUAAUACUAACCUGUUGGCUAGAGAUUUUGUCAUAUAUAAGGUUUCUAGUUUCUUCCAUAACAUAAACGAUGUUUUCUCCUUCAAAACCUUCUAUAACACAUUAUUCGUGAGAUAUAAUUGAAUAAUGGAUAGAGUCUUUUCAUCGAGCUCUUCCCAUUCUGACUGAUCCAUAUCUACGAGCUUUUUCCCUGUAAUGACCUUUUUCAGACCGUUCUAAACCAAUAUUGUUGUCAUUCAAACUUUCCACAAACUAAAAUUUACAAUUCUUCAAACUUCUCAAUAUCAAACCUUGACGUUGCCAUCUCUAAACGGGUUGACUGUAAAAAUUAAACUAGCUCUGAUACCAUUUUGUGGGGGAAAAACCCAUUAAGCAAUGAAUAAAGUAAAUAAAAUAAGAAUCGAAAAGAUCGAACAUGUAAAUUUUGCAUGGAAAACUCCUCAAGAGAGGAUAAAAACCACGGGAAAAAACAAAUUUCACUAUAAUAAAGGAGAGUACAAAAGAUGGAGGAGAGAAUUAAAAGAAAACCCGAAGCCCUUCAAGAAAAACCCUUCAAAACAAAGAAUAAAAUUCUCUCAAUCUAAAUAAAUUUUUGUUAUGUAAAACCUAGAGUAACUAAGGACUAUUUAUAGUUGAAAUUUGUAGCAUAUAUGACUACAACAAUUAGAGUUUAAGUGGGAAAGUAGAAACAAAGUUUAACUAGGAGAAAAAUAAAUUUUGGUCAAAAUAAGAGGCAUUCUUCCACACCUUUCCAAAUAAUACCUUAAGAGAGUGUCACAAAGUUACCCAAUGGAAUAGCAAGAUACAAAAGCUUAAGAUACUCCAAAACAGCAAACAAAGUGAGACCACACUAUUGCCUAUUUAUAGGCGUCUACAAGUGAUUAUAAGAUAGUGUUUUGAUAAGCUUUAAACUCUCCUUUAAAAGUUGAAAUUAUCAAAUUAAUUAUCUUGAAUAUUUAUCACAUAAAAGACUUUAUAACCAAGUUUUCCAAUAGCUUCAAACACUCUAAAAGGUAAGGAUAAGGAUAAGUGCCCAAAUUUCGAACUCCUCUCCUUCCUAGGCUAAUCAAAUGGAUGAUAAUCAUAUUCCAAUUUACCAAGAAAUUCUCUUAUCAUUUGUUGUUAACUAAUAUUAGAACAUAAGCCAUUAAAAGUCAAACAUGCCAACACCCAAAAAUGUUGAUUGCUCCAAAAAGCUUGUUUUAAUUGUUGUUCAAACAAGUCAGUACAAUUUCCAACAAAAAUUAAUAAUAACUAAAAAAUAUUAAAAAAUAAAAAAAUAUAUUUAAUAAAUGAAAAAUCAAAUAAAACCUAAUAAAAAGCUCAACCUUUUGUUAAAAAAAAUCAAAUAACUGAUAGUGUCUAGGAGAUGAGGAGUUAUACAUUUAAAUAUAUUGUAUUAUAUUAUUAUGUCGUAUAUUAAAUUAACAUUUAUAAUCUUUUUUUUUAAGGAAACCGUUAGUCUCAUAUUUUCGUCUUCUGUUUUUUUUUUCCGGUUAACAACAAAACUAGAAAAUACUGCACUUACACAUGUAUAUAUGUUGACCAUAUCUAAGAAAUAUGUUACUGAAUCAUGUGAAAUUCAUUCCCUUGAGCCAAGAAAAAGGAACGUAAAAUCAUGUGAGUUCACGUGGCAAUUAGGUAGAAAUUAGACAACUUGUCUAUGCUUCAAUCAUUAUGAGGCAAACCAAGACAAGUUCAACUUUUUUUUUAUCCUCUCACUGUGAAACCUUUUGCAGGAAGACUUAGGAACAAUAGCUAAGCCUAAAUCCUGCUAGAAUCACAACAUAUUGUUUUGUUUAUUAAAAAAAAAAGAUGAUAUUGGUCUUUGAUAUGUAAAAUUGAUCUAUACAUGCAUUGAUGUUGAGCAAUUUUUGUUUGAGGAGUUAACCGCUACAUUAUAUAGAAGUAAUUAACGUCUUGGGGAUUUUUUAUGCAAAAAAAUAUAUACAUAAAUUUAUAUGAAAAAUACAUGGUUAAAAAAAUUUGUAAAUAAAGCCUUGACAUGGUAGGUAAAAGUGGAAGCUAUAGGCUUUGAGUAACCAUAUUCAAGACCCACCGUACACAGUUGAAUGUAUGGGUUUUAAAGUCCUAUUAUUAAUUGUUAUGUGUUGGUUUUAGUUUGAUUAAUUAUAUUAUAACUUACAUUGUUUCUGUUUAUAAUUUAUAUUUUAUGUAAUAGAUUGAUUUUUUGUCUUAAUUUUUAGUCUAUUUAAAUGAUAUAAUUGUUUAAUUCUACACUUAAUAGUUACUUUGACCUAUAUUUAUAUUUUAAUUUUUCUGUAUUUUUAAACUUUAAAAAAACAUAUAUUUAUAUAUAGAAAGUUUAUGAAUAAAAUUUCUUUUUUCGAAAAACAAUAGAAAGCAUACGCAUUUAAUAUUUGGCAAAAAUAAAGUGAGUAAUGAAAGAUUGAAUUAAGGCAAACUAUAUUUGAUAGCAUCUUUGAUUGGUAAAGCCACCAAUAUCAGAAAACCGGAAACACUAAGACUAAUACGAUGCAUUAAUCAGCGGAGUAGUUCAGCAUUAGUGAUGAAGAUGAAAGUGGUAGAUACAAACCUUUUUCAAAGCAUUAAACACACUCAACCAUAAGCUGAAACAUGAAAAAGAAAGAAAGAAACCUUGGCAUUGAAUUGGGCCAACUACCAACGCCUAACCAUAUACUAUUCGUACGUGUUUCUCAGUUCUUUUGAUAUCCCUUCACUCAACUUUUGGCUAUAAAAACCCUCCUACGCUCAAGCCCUAACCACGACAAUCAGCUAUAGUACUUCUACUCCAAGCAAGCAUUUUCCUUUUCUUGUGAUUAAUCGAUAUGGCUAGCUCAAUGUCCCUUAAGCUUGCAUGUGUGGUGGUGUUGUGCAUGGUGGUGGGUGCACCCCUGGCUCAAGGGGCCGUAACCUGUGGUCAAGUCACAAGCUCCCUCGCACCCUGCAUUAAUUACUUGAGAGGGACUGGUGCUGGUGCUAUUCCCCCAGGUUGCUGCAGCGGCAUCAAAUCUCUCAACUCCGCCGCCCAAACAACACCAGACCGGCAAGCAGCUUGCAAAUGCAUCAAAAGUGCGGCCGCCGGCAUUCCUGGCAUCAACUUUGGCCUUGCAAGCGGACUACCAGGCAAGUGCGGUGUCAACAUCCCUUACAAGAUCAGCCCUAGCACUGACUGCAGCAGGUUCGUAUGAGUUGUUUCAUUGCUUAUGCUUAUUAAUUGCUCAACAUUUAAUGGUGUGUCUUUUGUUGUUUCAUUUGCAGCGUCAAGUGAAAUUUUGGCAUGGAAUGUUCAUCAGCUAGUGGAAGCCAAAAUAAUGAUAGCUACAGAAUAAAAAUGGAUGUUUAAAAUCCAUCCGUAGGGAUAGCAGAGGAGUUAUCCUAAUUUUAGAGUUGUGCGUUGUGUACUAGGUCGGUUUUUGCGACUAUGUAAUACUAUCUUUAUCUACAAAUUAAUAUCACUCAUUAUUUUGUGUUUCUUCUAUAUGAUAUUUAUCUAUAUACCCUUCUCUCAAGCAUUUUAUAUCAACAUUCACGUGGUCUAAUAAUAAUGAAAAUCAUGAUUACUCAACCCUAAGUUUAAUUAAAUCAAUUUAUGCACCGGUUCUGUUCUUUAGUUGCAUGUACCGGAUGCAAUUCCCAUUGCAAUCUGUUUUGUAAUUGAAAGGUUAUACAACUUGCUAUAUAUAUCGACAUAUUUUUAAUUGAAAAAUUUUGGGCUCAUUCUUAAUUUACUUUAAAUCUUUAAAGUGGACUACUCCUUUGGAGACAUUUCUUUUUAAAUGAAAAUAUUAGAAAUACAAUUAAGAGAGAUUAUUCAUCUGAUCAUGUUGAAACACGGAUCAAAGUUCAAAGUUCAUGAUCAUUACGCACAAAACGUUUUAUGAAGAUUAACUGAUUAAACGAGAUUAUUAUUUGAUCCACUUGAACUUGCCUGACUCGUGGAACACAUGGAAAAGUCUAUCUACUUAAACCUUUGGAGGUUCAGUGAAACUCUCCAGUAAAAUUAGAGUUACCAGAGUAAUUAAUGUAAAGCCUAAGGGAUAAAAAUGUAUAGAGUUUAAAUCUCAUAGGACUCUCAUCUUAUAAAUAAGUACUAAUAUCAGUCGUCGAUAUAAUUUAAUCUGUAUCAUUGGAUCUAGGGGAGCUCAACUAUAAAUAGAGACCUCCUUCAUUUGUAAUCAUCUCAUUGUACUCAUGAACAAAGCCAAAAAUAUUUUUUUGGGAUAGAAUUAAAUUAUAUAUUUUUACAAUAGUAAAAAUACAAUUUCACUAAUUUAAUAGUUAUCUUUAUAAUUUUUAAAGAAUUAAAUCAAAUUUUUAUGAUGGGGAAAGUGAAAUUUUACCAUUAUUAAUUUUAAAUUUUAUAAAUUAUAAAGGGAUAUAAAUGAAAUUUUUUCUAUUUUAGAAGGGAGGUCCCUACCAGCCCUCUUAGUUUCACCACUAAUUGUACUUCAUUCCUUCUUGAGUUAAAGAAUUUAUUAAGAGUAUUUACUCAAACACCUUGUAUACAUCGUUUUCUUAUAUCUUUUCAAUUCUCUUAUUGCUCUUUCAUUUUAAGUUACUUCCACAAUAUUUUUUGCUAACAUAGAGAAUUUUUAGGAAAAUUAUCACUUUUCGAGGGUUAGGUUGACUUAGGCAAAUUUAACGAAAAGAAAUCACUUAAAACCACACGAUUUAUUUAAAUUCUAAUCCCAUAACAGUAAAGUUUUGAUAUUUGAGUAACUCAACAUUUAUGUUUCAUGAAAAUAAAAAUAAUGAGAUUCACUCCUUACAAUAAAAUUUCUAUGUUGCACCUAAUUUACCAUUCACAAUAUGAUACUCAUAAUUAAGAUUAAUACAAUACAUGGGUUUGUCAUAAUGUAAUCUGAAAUAAGAAAGUAACAUUUUUUAAAUAAAUAUAAUUAGAAUCUAUUUUAUUAGUUCUGAAUUUUCAAAGUUUAUAUUAGUUUAAAACGGUUUUAAUAAUUCUUAGUUACAUAUCGCUGAUUAAACUUUUAAAUUUAAAUUCAACCGAUUCAUCUAAUAUAAUUCUAACAACAUUAAUAUAUAAUUUUUGUAUUUUUAUAAACACAUAAUUCUAAAUAUAUAAAUUCUUAAGUUGGUGAAUUGUUUAUUUUACACUAAUUUUAUAAUAAACUAUAUGCUAAUGAGAUAAUUUAUUUUACUAAAUUAUCAUUAAUGCUCCCUGAUUAGGAAUGUGCAUACAAAUUUGAAUAUCGCUGAAGAGAUAGCGAUUGUUUGUAAUAGAGAUUUAUCGUAUAAGUCUCAUCAUAAUUUCAUUAUCUUAGAAUCUAAACACAUUUUAUACAAAAAUGUUAUUUUAAAAUUAAGUGAUGUUUUGGUUGAAAUAAUUAAGUCAAAAUUUUAAACUUAAGUUUCAAUUUUAUUAUAGUAUUUUUUUAUUUAAAAAUAUGAAAAGGCAAAAAAUACUCUCUUAUUAAUAUUUUUUUUUAUUUUAUAUUAAAACUAUUUAGUAAAUUCUCAAUAGAGUUAGUAGCCGGUUGACUCGUGACACCAACUCAACUAAGGCUUAAUAUAAGUAUAAAUAGAUGAGUAAAUUUAGAAUAAUUAUUGUUAAUGUAACUGUAAAAAUUUACCAUUACAGUGUAAUGGAUUUUAAAGGGUUGAUUCUAAAAUCUGACUCUAAAUUUUUCAUCGAGCUUUGCUCUAACAACACACUUAGACGAUGGGAUCUCUCCAACAUUCUCGGUGAAAUUAAUUUUUUUGCUACAAGUAACCAACGAGGAAAGGGUGGAGGAGAAGAGUCUCGAUUCACCUAUGAUAGGAUGAGUUAAGGAGGGAGAGAGCGAGAGAGCUACAGUUGUUGUCUAGGUUUUCAGGGGAGAAAGAGUCGAUGCUUGGUUCCUCAUGCACCAGAGCUUACAUAGGGGAUCACCCAUUGUCCUGUAGUGUCGCGUAACUGACAAUGUUGUGUCCUACAAGAUUGUGCGUGCCAGCCAAGUGACAAGGCCGUCAUAGGUCAAUUGUCAUUAUAUAGUGUAUUGUGUGAUCCUACUCUAACAUUCUUGUCUUUGGGGUUGUACGAGACUAUUACGCUUUAGUGGUCCUCACGGAACUGCGUAACGAGCUAUCUCUAGGUAGUUUAGAUAGGGUUCAUGGGAGGUCAUUUGUGAGCAAUCCUAAGCGAAGGAUCGCUACGAAAGGUUCUUAACGAAGAGUCAUACGCAAACUGCUUCCAAUGGAGAGUUGUUUGCAUAUUGCUUCAUGUCUUGCCACGUAUUGAGAUGGAAAUAUAACAAUAACAUUAAAUUUUUUUCACAUGGACUCAGAGAAGCUAAUACAAUCCCAGACGCACUAGUUAAAAUUGGCACCCAUAGGAGUCAUUUAUUUCAUGUAUUUUGGGAUAAAUUUUUGGUGUUGUUGUAUGUGUUUCUUUAUAGCAGUGGUAUGCUAGUACAGCACUUGAACAUGCCUUGCACGGAUACUUUUUAUGAAACUGUAAGUCGACUAAUAAAAACGAAGUUAUGAAUAAACUGUACAUCUAUCUACCCACCUUCUUCCCUACCAUUUAUCCCCCGCCUUACUUUGGAAAAGAUUUAGGAGGGUUUCAGAUUUUACAUUUUAAAUUUUAGAUUUAUAUUUCAAAAUCCAUAAUCAUUUUUUAAAUUUGUGGAUCUACUCUAUUUAGUUGGAAUUUUAAUAAAUCUAGAAAUUUAAUAUAUUUAUGCUAAUAUACGCAUUACAUUCAUUUAAUUUAAAUAUAAAAUGACAUUAAAAUAUACAUGAUCUGAAACAUAUUAUUAUUAGACUUUUAGUCCCACCAUUUGCAAAUGUUAUUUGUGAGUUUAAAUCUCAUCAUGUAUUGGUUCUCUUCAAAAAAUUUUGAUUUAAAUCUAAAUAUAUUUAUGUUAUCAGUUAGUUAUGCUUUGUACUAUAUAUAUUCUAUUUUUAAUUGAUCAAAUAUAUAUUAUUUUUUAUUGCACUAGUAAACUAUUUAAAGAAAAUGUUAUUAUUAUUAUUUCCUUGGCUUUUCUUUUAUUUAUUUGGAACAUUAAAAAAUGAAAGGCUUUUCUUUAACUCCAUAUUCGUAUAACUUUUUUUUUAAAUAUUAUAACUAAUUUUAUAAUGCACACAAAAAUAGACAAAGAAUUUAUAAUUUUUUUUUAAGAAGACAGAAUUUAUAUUUAAUAUAAAAUCAAUCCUCGUUGAAUAGGAUUGCUUAUUACGACACACCUGUAAGCUCAUUAAAAUCAAUUUGGGGUUAGUAGAGAUAUAAAUCAUAUCAUUAAUUAUUUUUUUAUAUUGAGUCGGUGUGAUUUAUGUAAUUUAUUAUUCUAAUUCAUUUUAGGGAAUUUUUUAUGUAUAAAUCUUGUGUUGAAAUCAUAUAAUUUAUCUUACAAUUAUGAAUUUAUCUUUUGACGCGUCGAAAAUUAUUUAUUUGAAGGUUUUAUUAAAAAAUAUUAUUUAUAUUAUUUAAUAUUAUCGUCAAUAACUUUUUAUCCAGUGACUAGAAUAUUAUGAUAUAAAUAUUAGAGUUUAGGUUUGAUGACAAAUAAUUUUAUUCUCCACCCUUAAUUAUCCAAUAUAUAUAUAUUUCAUAUUACUUAAUUUUUUUAAAGUCAAAUUUUAUUAAAGAAUGAAUAUGAAAAAAUUAAAAAUAUUUCUUUUCUAAAAUAAUUUGACAAGCAAUAAAGCAUAAAAAAAAUUCCAUAAACAAUAAUUUCGAAUAAUAAAUUAUAAACUUUUGAUAAAGAUGUACUCAAAUAUCUUAAUAACUAAUAAUAAAAUAUGUAUAUAUUUUUUAAUUUCAUGUUUAAUUUAAAAUUUUUAAAAUAUUUCUUCAUAUUACAAAUGUAAUUUGUCUCCCUUUUUUACAAUAGUUGGAUCACUCUUCAUAAUAUACACAAUAAUAUAUUAUAAAGCAAUUUAUAAACAAUAAUAUAUUAUUUAUAAAAUCUUUUAAAAAUUAAAAAUUAAUUCACACGAUGAAUCUGUGCAUCUAAACAUAUCAACUACUUAAUAAUAUAUUUUGCAUACAAUUUGAUAAUAGUCCAAUUUGAAAAAAUAUAUAUUUUUGUGCUUUCUCAUAAAAUUCUUAAAUAACCCAUAAAAAGAUAUUAUAUGUUUUAAGUGCAUCUGAAUUUUUUCAACUUUAGAGUUAUUACAAAAGCAACAAAACCAAUUAAAUUAAUAUUUGGUUGGUUAAAGUUUAGGCGUUAAUAACUUAUUUUAUAUAGAUAUAAAAACAUUCAUACAUUCGUAUAGUGUUCAUAAUAUUUUUAUGCCAUUUAAUGUAUGAAUUGAUUUUCCAUAUCUUCUUUGUAUUGUUAAUUUUAACACUAUAUUUUUUUACAAAAAUUUAAAUUUUUAUACAUAUAUAAUAUUAAUAUAAAAUUUAAUUUAAUUUUCAAAAAGCUUUGAGCCAACAUAUUCAAAUUAGUCAACAACCUAACAAAACAAGUGGUUGAGGUUGCUUGUUGGCGCUGAUAUAGAUCCGACUAAUGUCAUUCACUACGAAAAUAAUGGAAAAGGCCACCUGUGGGGCCAACUAGGUAGAUAUAUUAUGAAUUGAAUGACAUGUGGCUGGUUGUAAUACCUCAUUGCAUUCAUUGCUUCAUUCACCCCCUAUUGAAAGUGAUAGAUUUUUUCUUUUAGGGAGAUUUAACUUACAAAUUCAUACUCUCUUUUUUUUUUUAUCAUAAGAGGUGUUUAAACUGUUUUUUUUUAAGUUUGGUAUUUCGGUUUAAUCAAAUUAUUAAGUUAAAAAAAUUUUAACCCAUUAAUUAGUAUCUAAGCUACAUAUUUUUUUCAAAUUGAUACCUAAACAUUUUUUUAUCCUACGUGGUACUUAAAUUAUUCUUUCAUUUUCCAUUUAAUACCAAAAUAUUAUAUUCAUUAAAAAAAUCUAAUCAAUAAUAGAUUGACAUGUAAAAUUUUAAAAAAAUAAUUAAUUCUUCUCUUCUCUUCUCUUUUUUUUUCAAUUAUUUCCCUCAUUUUAACUUUUUAUUUUUUUUUUCUUUCUUCUUCCUUUAUAAUGUCUAACAAUGACAACAAAUGCAAUGCUCAAAAUUCGCCCUCGUGAGGUUAAGACUAUGGAAAUUAAUUUUCUUUUCGAACUAUAUCGCUUGUAUGUUAGACCUGACGAGAUCGUAAAAAUUCUUUCAUUGAUCAAAACCAAUUUUUUUUCAGAAUCAGGCUAACAGGUCAUACUUUUGUAGGGGUGAGCGUCUAAUCGAAUCAAAUAGAAAAAUUUCGAUUUAAUCAAGUUGACGAGUCCUAUUUUAUCAUCUUAAAAUGAUUUAAAAUUUUAUCGAAUCGAAUCGAAUAUAUUUGUCUCCAGUUAAUUGAAAAAAAUUCUUUGGAUCCUUGUAGCCACUGUCACUCAUCAUAAUCAAAUUUGUCCAUCGUAAUCAAAUUUGUUAUUAACUUUCAUCCCUUCAUAAUUUAUUUAUUAAUCUUUUAUAUACGGGUUAGCUUCUUUGCUUGCUUAGUUGCUUCAAUUAUCUUUUAAUUCUUGUCACUGUGUAUUUUGAAAUUAAAAAAUAUAUUAAAUGUAAAAAAAUAUUUUUUUAAUAAAAUUUAUUUUAAAGAUAAAAUGUGAAAUUGGUACCAAUAGAAAGUUUUAACACAAAUAUUGUAUGACAUCACCAAUGAUACAAUUUUAACAGAAAUUGAUAAAGAUUCAACAUGAUUAAACAACUUAAUAAUAUAAAUAAUACAAAAUGUGAAAUUUAAUUUAUAAUAUAAAUAAUAGCCAUAAAUAAAAUUAUUACUAUUUAGGUCUAAGGAUUUUUUUUGGAGGAUUUUGAUUUUUGAUUUGGGGAUAAAGGGUGAGAAGUAAAAGUUUUGGGGGAAAAGUAGAAGGGUUUGGGACGGGGUAGGGGUGGGGGUGGGGUUGAGGCUGGGGGAAGGGGAAUAAAAGUUUCGAGGGUAAAGUUUGGAGGUUUGGGGUUGUAACACCCCAAACCCGGCCUAGAUGUUAGGACCAAGCCUGGAAAGCUACAACAAAUCAUUCCAAAAAAUGUCACUUUUAACUAAUUAAAGUUUAAUUGUCAGAAAAUGUUUAAAUAGUUGAACUAAUGUAGAAAUAUAAAUUUGCAAUCUGUAAUUCAAGAUAAACAACUAUAGUAUAAGUUUAAUUAAAGCGGAAAAUUACUAAGUAAGAAUGACUGAGCUCCCGCCACGGCGACCGGCCUAAGUCGAUGAGUUACCAAAAAUUCAGUCAACAGACAAAAUGAGUCGGUAAACACAACAUGUAAAUUAUAUUUUUAUUAAGCAAAACAACAGAACAUAUCUUCAGUUUUUCAAAAUUCGAACAGUUUUCAAAAUCAUAUACGGAAGCAGAACAGAAUAUGUCAGUUACACACCAUCUCCAUCCAACCCUACACACCAAAAAGGUAUGGAAUGCCCAUUCAUCCCUACACACCACAUAGUGACCAUAUGUCAUGUUCAAAAGGUUACAAACUAAAUUCUAGGACAGAAUGUGAAAGUCGCCAAAAUUAGAUACAUUUACGUGGCUUAGCCACCAAUCUUAGUAGAUUAUUUAACUGCCACAACUUCCUCCUUAUUCAAUCCCAACCCCAAUGCAGAUGCAAAGUUACAGAUACAGAUAUAAGCAUAGAUGUUACAGAUUCAGAUUAUACUCAGUUAACACAGAAUACAACUAUUCGCUAGUUUACAAUUCUAUGAUGUAUAUAAAAUAAUAGUUUAUACAGAAACAAAUUACUAGUCAAUGGGUUUUAUAACCCAAAUCGGAUCAUACAAACCCUAAGGUAAGCCUACGUUCGACUGGAACGACGUUUAUAGCCCUAACGAAAAAUUUGAAAUUUUGACCCAUACACUUGUGUGGAUUCACAUGUCUUGGAAGGCUGGCCUAUGUGGCACACGAUCUAUAACAUGGCCUGGCACACGACCAUGUGGCUCAAAAAAAUGAGUUACACAGUCUAGCACAUAGUCAAGCACACGUUCAUGUGACUCAAUUCAUAAAAUUUCCUUCAUAUGGCCUGGACACACGAACGUGUCCUAGCGCGUGUGACUCUAAUCCACAAAUAGUAAGUUACACGACCUAGACACAUGCCCACAUCCUUGGCUUGGUGACCCUAAUACACAAACAGUAAGUUACACGGCUAUAUGAUUAACAACCAUGUGUUCCAGUGUUCGCAAAUCAUAAAAAAAUGCGUUUUCUUUAAACACUUGAUGUAGUUUCGAUGUAGAAGCAACACACAAGAAUUUGGAACCUAAAACGACAAUUAAUUGACCAAUUAAACGACUAAUCAACUCAAAAUUCCAAAAUUAGCACUCAAAACUAACGUACGUCGAAAACUUCGAUGCAACCAACCAAAGCAGAAAUUUUCGCUUAUUGACAAGCGAGCAACAAUAGUUCAGACCUAAUUUCGCAGGAAAACAUUACUUUUGAAACCUUUUCCUAAAAGAAGAUCCAUUAGAACUAUUAACGAGAUUUUACAAUGAUUGGCAGUAAUAUCGAACCUCGACGAAACAGAAAAAGUCUAGCAAAAAAUAGGCAGAAAAAAACAACAGAAAUUACGAAAUAUCCUUGCAAUCAACGUAAAAAACCACACAGAUUUCCCAAUUAAGCACGAUAGCAAACUUACGGAAGCAAUCAAGCAAGAAAGGUGUAAUAGCCCAUUUUUAGUAAAAUCAGAACAGUGGUUUCGGGACCACAAAUCUAGAGUCAAAAAUAUAAUUUUAUUAUUAUUUUAUGGUCUACAUCAUGAUAUUAUUACAGUAUAAAAAUUUUGUUAAGAAAUUUUACCGUUUACAUGUUCAAUUUGAUAAAAAGGACUAAAUCGCGUAAAGUGCAAAAGUAGAGUUUUAAUAGCUAAAGGUAUUAAAUAGCUAUAUAAAUUUAAAUUAGAGGUCCUUAUAUGGUAAUAACCCAUAAAUGUGUUAGUGGAAUGUCAUGGCUUGGUAAACUUGUAAAUUGAAAUAAUUUUAAAGGUCAAAUAAAUAAUUAAGUAAAUAAAGGCAAAAUUUAGUAAAAUAAAGCCAAGUAUAAUCUUUUAUCCUCUUUAUUCAACCGAUUAGCUUAGAAAAAGAAGCCAUUUUUUCUCUUUAUGGUUCGGCAAGCUUGUUUCCAUCAAUUAGGUAUGUGUUUUGUCCCCCCCUUUUUUUAUAAUUUCUAUGUUUCUAGGAUCGUUGUAACUUAAUCUAGCUAGCCUGGGAAUUAAUUUGUGAAAAUGUUAAAGUAUUUGAGUUUUACUAUUGAUGAACAUGUUAGGGUUUUGAAGUUUAAUAGUAUAAAAUAAAUGGUUGUUGUUAGAUAAACAACCUUUUUAAAGGAAUUUUUUAUGAAAUUAUCAAUUAGGGAUUAAAUUAAAAAAUAUGAUAAAUUUGUGGUACAAUUUUGAAUUUGUGAAAUAUAUGGGCAGCUAUAAAUAUGUUUAUAGUUCGGCUAGGCUUGGGUUUGGAUAAAAUCGAAUGAAUUUCAUUUUUCGAGCCUACGGACUAAAUUACAAAGUAUUAAAAGUUACCAUUUUGCCAAAAAUGUAUGCUGGACUAAAUUAAAAAUGAAUUAUAUUGAAUUGAGUUAAAUUAAUUCGUAUAGAUCCGGUUAGACCUCGUAUGGAGUUCUAUUAGGGCAAAGGAAAAAUAUCAGAUUAGUCGCCUUCGUAUCUACGUACACUUGUCGAGGUAAGUUCAUGUAAUUAAAUUGUGUAAUUAUAUGCUUUGAUUGAAUUAGAUGUAUGUUAUUUGCAUUAUCAUCAUAAAUGAAUAUCGAUCGCAUAUCUGAUGACGUACGACGAUUACCGAGCCCCAUUUGAACCUUAAGAAUUAGUAGGAUAUAAAUAACAUGUCAUUAGGGUUAUCGAUUUCAGUUCUUAUGAGCUUACCGAUACUCAGCUCGUAUGAGCUUACUGUUAUUCAGCUCGGAGGAGCUUACUGUUUACAGCUCGUAUAAGCAUACAUGUACAUGAGUUGAUGAAUUACAGUUUAAUACACCUCGUGUGUACUACUACAUAUCCAAUAAUAAUCUAAAUGGUUCAACGUGCACUGUUCUGUUAUGAUAUUACAUGAGUUCAAUACGAACUAAUACAGGUAUUUACAUAAGAUAUAUGAAAAUGAUUUGUACAUGAUAUGUAGAUACAUGAUGUGAAAAUUAUAUGUACAUGGAAAUUUGAUAAUUGUUGAGCUCAUACAUGUUUCUUGAUAUUUAUAUGAAUUACAUGACUAAAAUGGUUGAUCAAGAUAUGUGUUUAGGCUUCUAUCCAAAUUGAGUUUGGAUAUGUUUUGUAUGCUUACCUUAAAUGUGACUAAAUGGUAAGUUAAAUUCUAUGUUAUACGAACUUACUAAGCUUAAAUGCUUACUCUGUGUUAUUUUUCGUGUUUUUAGUGAUUCAGAAGCUCGUUCGGGUUGGAAGCUUGUCGGAGCUAUAUCACACUAUCCAUUGGCUCUUUUGGUACACUCAAUUGUUUAAUUUCAGUUAUAAUGGCAUGUAUAUGUUAAUUUGGCCAAUGUUGGCUUAUAUGUGUUUUGUUGAGAUUAGCCAUUUGUUUGGUUUGUGUUAUAGAAUUUUAGAUAUGUUCAUAUUUUGCUUAUUAUAGUUGACGUGUAGUUUGGUUCAUGAUUGAAUAAAGAGUGGUAAAAAGGUAGCCUAAUGUGCAUUUCAUAUAUGUGUUUUGGAAUGUGAAGAAUUGAUCAUGAAUUAGUGUCUGGAUAUGUAAGGCAUAUAAGUUAAAUAUGUUAGUAUGUGAAAUACAAUUUGGCAUCAAAUGAUGUGUUUUGGAAGGCAAGUAAUUUGGUAAGAAAUGAUGUAAAUCUGCUUAAUAAACUUUGGAUGCAAAUAUGCAUAUAAGUGAGUUAAACAUUUGGAUAUAAUGAAUACAUGAAAAUUCUUAUUAUAAGUUGUCAUUUGAGGUGCCUAAGGGCAUAUUGGUUGUAUGUAAUAAUAUUACAUGUUUUAAGCUUGAUUUUGGCUGGUUUUGGAUGCCUAUUUAUGACUUGGUUAUAUGCAAAAUGUUGUGUUUAGGUUGGUACCAAGUUGGGUGAGAAAUGUGGCUUGGAAAAUGACCUAUUUUCAUACACAUGGGUAGAGACACGGGCGUGUGUCUCAACCGUGUAGGUGAUAUGGCCGUGUGUCCCCUGUAUCUUUUAAAGAAUGCAAGUUAGUAUGCUCACACGGCCUGGCACAUAGGCGUGUGGCUUGGCCGCGUAACCCAAGUCAGUGAGUUACACGGGCAUGGACACAGGCUGGGACACGGUCUUAUGUCCCUAUUUCGAAUACCCACACAACCUAAGACACGGGCGUGUCUUUUGGCCGUGUGAGUCACACAGCCUGGCCACACGGCCAUGUGACCCCUGCAGUUUUGAAAUUUUUAUAAGUUUCUGAAAACUUCUCUGAAUUUUUUAUUUAGUCCCGAAUUAUUUCUAAGGUGUAUUUUGGGUCUCGAGGACUUGUAUUAGGGACAAUAUGCAUUAUUAUGAUUGGUUUCUGACAUGAAUACUAUAUGUUAUGAAAUGUUUGAAUUUUCUGUCCAUUUAAAUUGUAAACUUCGGUAAUACUCCUAACCCUAUUCCAGCGACGGAUUCGAGUUAGGGAUGUUACAAAAGGAGAAAAAGAAAAAAUAAGGAAAAGAAUUGUAAGGAAGGAGAAGAACAAAAAAUAAAAAUAAAAAAACUAAAAAUAAGUUUUAAACAAAAACAAUUAUUAAAAUAAAAUUGAUUUCCCGAUAGCACACCAAAAUAUUUCCUUAUUUCUUAUGCAGAGACUCAAACAUGAGACCUUAGGUAAUAUAAAACUUAAUCAUUAAACCAGAUGACUCAUUCUUGACACAAAUUAAUGUAGACACAAACUUAAGUCAAACAUUCAAGAAUAAGAGUUGAAACAAAAGAAUAAUAAAAUUCUCUAAAAGUACGACUUGAACCCUCGAUCCAAAAACCAACACAUAUAACUUAACCACUGAAGCAGAUACUUGCUUAUAAAUAGACACUAAUAGUAACAAUUCAAAAUUUGGGGCGUUACAGGGGCAGACAAAGAGGAAAGAGUAAAUUUUUGGGGGAAAAGUAAAAAUGUUUGGGGUUUGGGUUUUGAGGUAAAAUGUAAAAUAUUAUAGUUUGGUAUUCGGCUUAAUCGAAUUAUUCGGGUUAUUUGAAUUCAAAAACUCAACUUGACUCGAACUUGAAAUUAAAAAAAAUCUAGUUGAUUUGAUUAAUUCGAUUAGAAUAAUUCAAAAUUCGAGCUUUUUUCAAUUUUUUCGAGUCUAUUCAAAUUUUGCUCACCCUUAAUACUGGGAACCAAUUAGGAUACUAGUUUGGAGAUAGGGCUUGAACCAAUUAACCUGCAAACUGAUACAGAUUUAUUGAGCCGAGCUAAAAAAAAACUAGUUGAACUAGUUUUCUCUAUUUUUUAUUUUUAUCUUUAUGAAUUUUUAAUAAUUGAUUUCAUCAAACUGGAUAAAUUGAUUAAACCAGUAACUAAUGAUCUAGCUAGUUUGAAUAUGGUAAUUUUUAAUUGGUUAUCAUUUUUUAAAUAGACUUAACGAUUUGAGUAAAAUUUAAACUAACAAAUGUAUCAAUUUGAGAAAAAAUAAAUUAAGUACCACAUGUGACAAAAAUGUUUAAGUAUCAAAAUAAAAAAAAUAUAAUUUAAAUACAAAUUUGUAGAUUAAGGUUUCUUUUAACAAACUUAACGGAUUAAGGAAAUUAUCAAUUUGAGAAAAAAAAUAAUUUCGAUAACAGUCGCUGGUGACAAAAAAGGAAUUAACUACCAAAAUGAGAGAAAAGGGAAAAGAUUGAUAUAAUGUGAAUUGAAUGACAUGUGGCUGGUUGUAAUACCCAACAAGCUUUAACAGGUGUCACUGAUUAAAAUUAUAUCAUAUGUAUUCUAUCAAAAAUAUAUUAUGUAAAAUUACAAUUUUUAAAUUUAAUAAAAAAAUAUAUUAAAAAUUUUAACUCCGGCCAAAACGUGAAAUAAAUCGUUUUUUAACAGUGUUUUGGAAAAAAAAAUUAGGGUUAAGUACCGAAAUGAUCACUAGAGUAUUACUUGUGUUUUAUUUUGAUUACUAAAUUUUUAAUUAUUUUUAUUUUAGUCACUAAACUAUAUGAAAUCAAAUAUUUUUGUCACUAAAUGUUAAUGACCGUUUGAAAAUUUUUCGAAAGUGUUGAAAUGUGUUAUUUUUUAUUUGUCUAAUAAAAAAUUUAAUCUUCUUUACACAUUCUAUCAAUUUGAUUCUAAAUAUAAAAAAUCAAUAAAUUUAACACCAAAUGUUUACAAAAUUUGUCACUUUAGUUCAAAUUCUAAAAAACAAAAUUAAUAAAUUUAGCUCUUAACAUUUACAAAAUGAAAAUUUUUAAUUUUUAAAAAUUUUGUAAAUUAAAAAGAAAAACAAGUGUAAUAAUUGUAAAAAUUAUUAACAAUUAAAAAAAUCCAUAAAGCCGUUAGCUACCUCAUAGUCAGUGCCAUUUAAAAACAUGCUUAGCCAUAAUAGUACAAGAAUUAAUGAAAAAGUAGAGUAAAAUUCAAAACAAUCAAUCUUAUCGAUAUACUUUUUCAAGGCUUUUAAUGUAAACUAAAAAUUCUUGUCCCAUCUUGUUCUUCUUCUUUUUUCUACAUUGGUUUAAAUUAUUAUUUGCUAUUAAGACAUUGUCAAUUUCAGUAUUUGUCUCAUUGCUUGAUCUUCACAAGAAAUUCUAGAAACAUAGUAUUGUGUUUUUGAGAAACCGUGAACCUUGUUUUGUUAAUCUAGGUUUACACCAAAUUUCAUUAUUGUACUCUACUUGUGAUUUAUUUGUGAUUCUUUUUUCAAUUUCUUGUAUUUGAAAAUAGAGUAUUAGUGAUUUUUUAGUACUGCUGCUAGUUAUGUAUGAAGUUGCUCAAAUUUAUGUGUUUAGCCAAAGGGUAGGGGAAUCAAUGCAUCCGCUACACUUACUUUCAAUGUUUCGCCUUGUCUUGGGGUUAAACUAAAGUUGAAGUCUCAUUUUAAAGUUGAGAGAUUAGAUCGUGGUGAUGAUAAUUAUUUCUUUUUUUUUUUUAAGUUUAUUUAGGUUUGUGUGUUGAGUUUUUUAAAAAAAAAUUUACAAACUUUUAAAAAUCAAAUCUUGUCAUUUUGUAAAUGUUGAUAGUUAAAUUUAUUGAAUUCUUUUAGAAUUUGAAUUAAAAUGAAAAAUUUUGUAAACAUUGAGGGCUAAUUUUGUUGAAUUUUUUUAUAUUGAAGACCAAAUUGAUAGAAUAUAUAAAUAUUAAAAAACUAAAUUUAUUAUUAGACCAAUAAAAAAAAACCAAUUCCACACUUCUUUUAAAUUUCAAACUGCUCUUAACAUUGAGUGAAGAAAAUAUUUAGUUUUAUAUUAUUACCAAAAUAAAUAAAAAUAAAAAUUCAAUCAACCAAAUAAUCUAUAAAUAGAUUUAGAAUGUUGCAUGAUAUAUAUAUUAAAAAAAAGAAAAAAAAACGAUGCAUGUGCCCUAAUGUUGUGAAGUUUUUUUUUUCAUUGAAAAUAACAAAAUAACUAUUUGUUUAUAUUUUAUAUUAGUUCUAUGGCAUACCGCGUGGAAAAGGAAAAUUCAUGUAAAUAAUAUAUUUAUAAAAAUUUAUAUUAAAACUAAAUGAGAUUUUAGUUGAAAUAGUUAAGUUAAAAAGUGUAAAAUUUAUGAGCUAUAAGUUUAAAUCCUAUUGUAGUGUUAUUUAUAAAAAAAAUGAGAAAAGAUAAAAAUACCUUUAUAUUAAUAUUUGUUAUAUUAUAAAAUAAGGAUAUUUUUAACAAAUUUUCAAUUGAAUAGAUGUUUGGGUGAAUCCUAAUACCAAUUAAAGUAUAUAUACACAAACAAUUAUAAAUCAAAUUACUUUUAAUAAAAUGCUAUCAUUCAAUUCAAUGACAAUAAAUGCAUUUAUAAAUACAUCAAAUGUAAAUCUCAUGUUUAUAAGAAAACACGUAGAAAAAAAGUUAAACCAAUAUUUGAGUCCUAGCUGUGGAGGCAUGAUUGAGUGAAAUCAAAUGGACGCUGGUUUUAAUUCUAUUGAAAGAAACCAAUAAUCACGUAGGUUGGCAGUUGAACAUAAUUGAAUGGUCUCAACUUUUAAUGUGGUGUUAAUGUUUGGAUCGGAUAAUCUCAACUUACCUAAUAGCUAGGAAAGUAAAAUUCAAACAUCACCCGCUACUACUUUUGGCUAUAAAAACCCUCCUACCCUCAAGCCCUAACCACGACAAUCACCAAUAGUACUACUACUCCAAGCAAGUAUUUUCCUUACACGUUUGUUUUUCUUGUGAUUAAUCGAUAUGGCUAGCUCAAUGUCCCUUAAACUUGCAUGUGUGGUGGUGUUGUGCAUGGUAGUGGGUGCACCCCUGGCUCAAGGGGCCGUAACCUGUGGUCAAGUCACAAACUCCCUCGCACCCUGCAUUAAUUACUUGAGAGGGAGUGGUGCUGGUGCCGUUCCCCCAGGUUGCUGCAGCGGCAUCAAAUCUCUCAACUCCGCCGCCCAAACAACACCAGACCGGCAAGCAGCUUGCAGAUGCAUCAAAAGUGCGGCCGCCGGCAUUACUGGCAUCAACUUUGGCCUUGCAAGCGGACUCCCAGGCAAGUGCGGUGUCAACAUCCCUUACAAGAUCAGCCCUAGCACUGACUGCAACAGGUUCGUAUGAGUUGUUUCAUUGCUUAUGCUUAUUAAUUGCUCAACAUUUAAUGUGGUGUUUCAUUUGCAGCGUCAAGUGAAGUUUUGGCAUGGAAAGUUCACCAGCUAGUGGAAGCCAAAAUAACGAUAGCUACAGAAUAAAUAUGGAUGUUAAAAUUCCAGAGUUAUGCGUUGUGUACUAUGCCGCUUUAUGCGACUACGUAAUAUAAUCUUUAUCUACAAAUUAGUAUCACUCAUGUCUCCAUUCCCCUUCUUUCAAGCAUUUUAUAUCAACAUUCACGUGAUCCAUAUUUCAUUCCUUAAAAAAAAAAAUUAAGAAAACAAAAAUUAUGAGAUUCACUCCAUAUAAAAAAAAUUCAAUGUGGCACAUAGGAAGUUUAUCGUUUCAUAAUACGAUACCCAUAAUUAAAAAGUUCAUUUAUAUUUGUAACUAGGGUUGAAAUCAUAAAAUUAUUUUUGUGUAAGUUUGAAUUUAUAUUUUACUAAAAAAUAAUCUUUAUUAAUUGUAAAACUUUAUAAAAGAAAAUAUGAGUUUACCUAACCGUAUAUCCCUAUAUGUUGCAUUGUGGGGUUAAAGUCUUUGCAUGAUAAAUCCAUUAUCUUCAUAUAUCUUGUAUUGUGGGGUUAAAGUCUUCGCACGAUAAAUCCAUUAUCUUAAAAUCUUAGAAGAAAAUGAGUGAAUGUUGGAAGUUUAUUCUUAAUGUAAUUCUAGAAACUAAUUUAAUUAUUAUUAUUAUUAUUAUUACAAAUUUGUGCCUUUGUAAAAUAAAUAUAUACUUCUAUUUUUAUUUUUACAAAAUACAAAUAUUAAAUUUUAAACCUUAUAAACUUUUAACCAUAAAUUUUUAAUCGUUAAACCUAAACCCCACCUCUAAUAUAAAAUCCUUUGUCCACAAACUGUUCCAAUCAUUUGGGAAAGAGAAAAUCAAACUGUAAGCCUACUAAUAAUAUAUCGUUAUGAUUAUUUAACAUUUGUUACUUGAUUUUGAUAUUUUUCUUAUAAUUUCAUACUUAAUUUUUUUUAUCCAAUUUCACACUUAAACCUUUUAAAUAUUAUACAAAUUACCUCAAAAUACUAAUGAUAUUAAUUUUUUUAUGAGGGAAAAGAAACAGCUAACGUAUGGUUGUCAUGUGACAAAUGAUAUGGAAUUUAAUGACAGGGAUGAUUACAUUUAUUUGAAGUUUUCUCUAUUUUUUUAAACAAUAUGUUCACAAUUUACAUUUCAUCAAGCCUGAGAUUACUUUGACAGUUAAUGGCAAGAGUGUUACAAGAGGAACCAUAUGCUUAAAGCAUGACCUAGUUUUCAUAAAGCCCUCAAGUCCCAUAAAAAUAGGAAAAUUAUGUUAAAAAAUUGUACCUACGCUUAAUAGAAUAUUGAAAAAUAAAAAAAUAAUUUUAAAACCCAAAAAUAAAAAGAAAUUCAUUAUUAAAUUAAAAAGGUAAAAUAAAAAAAUUAAUUAAACUAAAAGUAAUUCAACAAUUAAAAUACAAAAAAUCAAUCUCAUGUCAUCCGUCAUAUGUUAAUCAUACAUUGAUUAUAUUUGCACCUCAUAAAUAUAAAAUUAUUAUAUUGGAGUAAUUUGUAAAACCUUUAACAAGUUAGAUACCAAAUUGAAAAAAAGAAGAAGCUUAAGUGCUAAAUUAAAAAAUAUAUAUUAAGUUCGAGAAUUAAAUUGAAAAAAAAAGCAAGGGUACCAAAUAAGCUAAGACCCACACUCAACCCGACUCCUAUUAAAUAUCUCUUCGUCUCACUUCGGCAAGAGACAAAGGAUAUAUAGUUUACACUACUAAAAUUCAACUGUAUAUGUAAUAGGCCAAUUUUGGCCUGGCCUAGUUAAUAAAUAAAACCCAAACAAAUAAAUAAUAAAAGUCUAAAAUUUACAGUCCAUUUUUACAAACAUCAGGGCCCAAUUUACAACAUGCAUAGCCCAAAUAAAAAAAAACUACCCAAACCCAAUUACAAAGCCCAAAACAAAUCAACCCUAGCCCACUCAAAACAUUUCAGCAAAAAAAGUAAACCCUAGUCACAUGCCUUCAGCCGCCGCUUCUCCCACACGUUACCCUCGACCACUGCACGCACGUCUGUCACCGCCCUUCCGCACGUCUGACAUCUCUGACGACCUGCAACACGCAAGCGAAAGAAGCCAAGCAGAAGAACCAAGAAGAAACGACAAAAAAAAAGAGGAAGCAAACAGUUUAUGACACGACUAUAAAAGCCGAAAUAAGUCCUUUGUAAUUUUUUUAAGCAUACUAGAAAUAAAAAAGUAGAACAGAAGUUUCGAAAAGGUGUUAUUUUGAUCCUAUUCUUUUUGUCUCGAUUCAUUUUUCUAGUUUCCUUUUAUUUAUUCUUAACACGAAUCUAUUUUUAAAAUAAAAAAAACAAGGCAAAGAUUUCCAAAGGUGACCCUUUUUUUUAAAAUCUAAAAUUUUUCUACCUUUUUUGUUUUUUUAUUCUCAUUAUUUCUCACGAAAAAUAAAGAGAACAGAAAUGAAGGAUUUACUUGGGCUGUUUCGCACUCUGGUCGCCGAAAACUCCCUCUCCGGCGUCGAAAUCGUCUUAGGAAGAAGGUGACAAGGGCCUUUCUUUCGAUUUUCUGGUUAGGAAGGCUUUGCCUUCGGUUUCAUUUUCUUGAAAAAGGUUAAAAAGGCCGAAUUUAAGGGUAGCUCCGACCACCGUCCACGGCGGGGAGCGGAGGUCCGAUGACGUACGAUGAUGGGUUUUAUAAACCCUAGCAGAGAAAAUAAAUGGGAGGGGGGCUGCUUUCUAUUUUUUUUAAAAGAAAAAGAAGCAUGUAAUAGCCCAAUUUAGACCCUAAUCAGAAUGGUGGUUUCAGGACCACGAAUUCGAGUCAGAAAAAUAUUUAAAUAUUAUUUUUCGUGUUUAUUAUAUGUGAAUUUGCAUGUGUGAAAUUUUCGUGUAAAAAUUUGAUUGUUUGUGUGCUUAAUUUAAUAAAAGGACUUAAUCGCGUAAAUUAAAAACUUGAUAGUGAAAAGCAUAAGGGCCAAAUUGUUAAUGGCUUUGUAAGUUGAAGCAUUUAAGUGGCAAUUUGACCAUAUUUAGUUAGAUGGACGGUUGUGACCAUGCAUUAAAAUGGUUUUAUAUUUUUAUAUCUUAAGGUUAAUUUGGUAAAUUAUGAAUUAAUAAUGUUAUAAUAAAACAUAAAAAUAAAACCACCAUGCAUUUGUUCAUCUUUUUGACUGAAAGUUGUGAAAGAAAGAAAAGAAAAUAAGCUUGGUGAUAUUCAGCCAUUUCUCAAGCUUGAUUCAAGGUUAGUUUGGUUUCGGUUUUUGAUAAUUUUUACGUUUUUGAAAUUGUUACUUCGAAUACUAUCUGACCCAUGCUAGAAUUUUUGAUUUUGAUGAAUGUAUUGAGCUGUGCCAUUGAUGAAUAUUUGUGUUUUGUGAUGUUUGAUGAUGAAAUAUUAAAGAUAUGUUUUAGAUUAAUAUGUUUUGUAUUGGAAUUUUUGAUGAUUUUGAGUAAUUAGAACUAAAUUGUAAAAAUAAUAAAUUAAGGGACUAAAAUGUGAAAUAAACAAAAUUUGAGGACUUGUUUGGGUGUGGGGAGUAUUCGGCCUAAGUAUAACAUGAGAAAAUUAUGCUUGUUUUGUGUUUUAUGCAAAUAGGACUAAUUUGUAAAAGUAUGAAAUAUCAGGGGUAAAAUGGUAAUUUGCCCAUUUAUGUGUUGUUGGAUUAAAUUGAAUGAAAUUGUGUUUGAAUGAGAUAAAUUUGAAAUUUUAUAGAUCAAGAAUAAAAGAAAUCGGACUUGGAUCGAGGAAAAACAAAAAUAGUCGAAUAGUCGAUUUACAUCGUUCGUCGAUAUCCAAGGUAAGUCUUUAAGCAAUUAAACAUCAUUAAUUUUGAAUGUAAUUUAGUUUAAUAUACUGAUUCGGAAUUUAUGGAUUUGUAAUAGAGUUAGACGAAUGUGAAAAAGUAUAUAAAUAAUGUAUUUGAGUUUAACUCGAUUGAGUUAUAACAUUUGAAAGUCCGUAUGAACUAUAUGGAAUAUCUGAAAUGUUUGAUAUAUGAAAUGUUUAUGAGACAACUUUAUAAUAAUGAUAUUCGAGCUUUGAGCCUAGCAAGCCUUGUGUUGGUGAAUUUAAUCGGGCUUGACGCCCAGUAGGCUUAUUACCGUUGUAUAAAAUCAGACUUUGAGUCUAGCAGGCCUUGUGCAGAUGUGAUACAGGCUUAGGUCUAGCAGGUUUUAUACCGGUGAAAUAUUAUAAGUCUAUGCCUAAAAGAUUUUAUGUUGAUGUGAUAAAUGAAUAUGUUGAACGAGCUAAAACGAUCAGGUACGUGAUAGCUAGACUACCUAUUUGAAAACAAGAUGAAUUUAUUCCUUGAUAUGUGAUGAAAAAGAAUUCAUGAAUUUAAUGUAGUACAUGUGCUAAUGUGAGAAAUAUAUUUGAUCUUAUAAUUGUACAUGAAGGUAUUGUUAAACUUUGAGUGAUGAGUAUAUGUCUUAAAAUAUAUAUGUAUAUUCGAUUAUAUAAAUCAAUGUGGUUUCGAAUUUCUCAUAUGUAUAUUCGAUUAUAUAAAUCAAUGUGGUUUCGAAUUUGAGAACAUAUUGGUGCUAUAUACUUGUUUAUUCGGCCAAAAAGAAGUUGCCUUAUGAAAGUAUAUGUUUUAUAUGUGUGGAAUUAAAAGUUUGAAAAUAAAAGUGAUUAAAAAUGCAUAAGUUGAUUUAUUUAAUUGAAAUGAUUAGUAAUUAAAUGUUAUUAUGCUUUAAUUGUUUAAUUUGCUUAAGGAAUACUAAGCUAAGUUAGCUUACUUUGUGUAUAUAUAUAUUUGUCUUUGUUUUAUAGUUUUUGGAGAUCGUUACAUGCUCGGAGAUUGUCAGUAAAGUCAAUCGCACUAUUGUUUAUUCUCGGUACCUUUGAAAGUUUUAAAUUCAAACUUAUGGCAUGUAUAGGCUGAAUGAUGUUUUGUUAUGAUGAACUUUGGCUUUGUAUAAAGCCAUGCGAAAGUGGCUUAUUUAAAUGCUUGAAUUUGGUUUUGGUAUAAUGAUGGUUUGAGUCCAUUUUGGUUAUUAUGCAAUGUGUCAAGGAUGAAUGAUACUUGUGAUAUCUAUUUGAGUGUUGAAGAUGCUUGGUAAAUUUGGAUGUGUGCAUUGGAUUGAUUCGGUUAUGGUAUGGAAGAUUCAUGUUUUGUAUAUAUAUAAAUAUAUCUAUUUGAAGUUAAUGGUUUACUCUUGAGAGAUAUAAAAUGUAAUAUGAGUUGGUUUGAAAAUUAUACAAUGAUGUAUCGUGAAUUUAGAUAUAAGAUAAAGGUAUAUGAGGUGGUUAUGUCUAACUUGUGAUUCGACAAUUGCUUUUAUAAAUAUUCAUGCUUGAUGAAUUGACUUAAUAUGUAUUUCAACUAAAAGUAUACUAUGUAGUAGGUAGGUAAUAUGUAGGAUUAUUUGCGUCUUAGGCAAAGUUUAGAUGACCAAAUUGACGAUAAAUAGGUUAGUUGUAAAUCCGCAUUUUUGGUAUGUGACAUGAGUGCAUUUCAAAUCUUUACUUGCAAUAUAAAAUGGUUAACAAUAAAUAAGUAAUUGAGUUAAAUUUUAGUUUGUGAAUUAAGCUUGAUAAGUUUCGUUAUUAAUGUUCUAUUAUAGUUCAUGUUUAAUAUGGUUAAAAAAUAUAUAAGGUUUAUUUGUUUAAUGAAACAAUUUGAUUAUUUGUGAAGAUAUGAAUGUCGUGUAUGCUGAUGAUUAAAUUGUCAUGUGUUAGAUUUUUAUUUGAUUUAAUAUGUACAUGUUUCGAAAUAUGUUUUAAAAUAUUCGAUGUUUAACAGAUAUCCGAAUUUGACUUGUAUUUGUAUAUUGUAAUGAUAGAAUUUCGAUUAAUAUUUAUUUGGACAUUCGUAUAUACAUAUGAAUAUGACUUGUGUGAGUAUUCAGAGUUGUGUUUUUUUCCAGUAAUGCCUUCGAACCCUAAUUCAGCGACGGAUACGGGUUUGGGGUGUUACAUUUUAUUAGUAUCAGAGCUAUAGUUUAGUCGAUUCUAGGACUAAUGUAGCAUGUGUGAGUUUAGCUAUACAUGCCAUAGUGUUUACUGCGAUAAUGUGAUGACUUCUGACAUUGAAAAUGUGUUUUCGUAUUGUAAAUAAAUCCCGACAGAGCUGUAGUUGAUGAUGUCGAGAGUGUAGCACAUGCUCCUGCGCAUGAGACAGCACCAGUUGAAUCUCGGCUGAUCUCGAGUAGCCGUGAAGGGGAGGCUAAACAAGCCUUCUAUCAACUAACGAAUGAUUGGUUUACUCAAUAUAUUUGAACUAACCCGGCUACACAACAACCUCCAUCCCCGAAUAAUUCAUCUUCGAUACCUGUGGUUCCUCCUAUGAUUGAUUCGAUGAGAUUUAAUAAGCCUUCCGUUGAUAAAAUUAGAAAACACGGGGCUGAAGAAUUCAGAGCUACUGAUGAUGAUGAUGCUAAGCUAGCUAAAUUCUGGCUUGAUAAUACUAUCCGUGUGCUUGAUGAGUUAUCUUGUACCCCGGAUGAGUGCUUAAAAUGUGCUAUAUCCUUGCUACGAGACACCGCAUACCACUAGUGGAAUAUACUAGUAUCGGUGGUUCCGAAGGAGCGAGUGACUUGGGACUUCUUUUAGACUGAGUUUCGUAAGAAAUAUCUCAGUUAGAGAUUCAUUGACCAGAAGCACAAGGAAUUUCUCUAAUUAAAAUAGGGUCGCAUGACUGUGAUAGAAUAUGAGCGAAAAUUUGUGAGACUCAGUUGAUAUGCUCGUGAGUGUGUUUCAACUGAAGCUAUCAUGUGUAAAAGAUUUGAAAACGGUUUGAACGAAGACAUUAAAUUUCUGGUUGAUAGACUUGAAAUUAAAGAGUUCGUGGUACUUGUUGAGCGAGCUUGCAAAGCUGAAGAGCUCGGGAAAGAAAAAAGAAAAGCUGAUUUUGAAGCUAGAGAUUUUCGCAAAAGAUCAUUGGGUAAGACUUUUCAAUUAGCAUCGAAGAAGUUCUGAGAUGAUUCUAGUCAAUCUAAAGAUACUGCGAGCUUUUCUAGACGAGAUUGAGACUGACCCCCUGUGAGUUUGCGAGCCACUUCGAUAGUUAGUGUUGGCAAUGUUCGACAGAAUAGAGUCGAGUGCAAGCAUUGUGGUAAAUGGUAUUCUGGAGAUUGCAGAUUGCAUGACCGGUCUUGUUUUAAAUGUGGAUCGAUGGAUUAUUUUAUCCGAGAUUGCCCAAUGUUAGCGAGCAAAACACUGUUCAGAAUGCAAGACCGAGUAAUAUGUCAGUGCGAGGCAGACCACCUAGGCAUUCGGGUAAUGUAGGUGGCAGUCAGAUAGGGAUGAAAGAUACAGCAGUUCGAUCUGAGGCUCGUGCACCUACCAGAGCAUAUGCUAUACGUGCUCGUGAGGAGGCUUCUUCCCCAAAUGUUAUUACCGGUACUUUUACUCUUUAUGAUACUAGUGUUAUUACAUUGAUUGAUCCUGGUUCGACUCAUUCUUAUGUGUGUGAAACAUUAGUAUCCAGUAAGACUUUGCCUGUUGAGUCUACUGAGUUUGUGAUUCGAGUAUCGAACCCCCUAGGCCGGUGUGUUCUGGUUGAUAAAGUAUGUAAGAAUUGUCCAUUGAUGAUUUGAGAUUCAUGCUUUCCAGCCGAUUUGAUGUUAUUUCCUUUCGAUGAGUUCGAUAUAAUUUUGCGUCUGGACUGGCUGACUUUGCACGAUGCUGUUGUUAAUUACAAAAGAAAGACCAUUGAUUUGAGAUGUCAGAACAACGAGAUUACUCAGAUUGAAUCUAAUGAUCUGAAUGGUUUACUAGCAGUAAUAUCUUCGAUGUUAGCUCGGAAGUACGUGAGAAAAGGUUGUACAGCUUACUUUACUUAUGUGCUUGAUAGUAAAGUGAUUGAAAAAAAGAUUGAAUCUGUACUAGUUGUGUGCGAGUAUCCGGAUGUGUUUCCUAAAAAAUUACCAGGUUUGCCACCUGUCUGAGAGGUAGAUUUUAGUAUUGAGUUAGUACCGAGGACGUCUCCAAUUCCAAUAGCUCCGUAUCGGAUGGCACCUACUAAAUUAAAAAGAAUUGAAAGCUCAGUUACAAUAGUUAACAAAUAGAGGUUUUGGACGACCGAGUUUUUCUCCUUGGGGUGCACCAGUUUUAUUUGUGAAAAAGAAAGACGAAACUAUGAGAAUGUGCAUUGAUUAUAGACAGCUCAAUAAGGUGACUAUAAAGAAUAAGUAUCCGUUACCACGGAUUGAUGACUUGUUUAAUCAACUAAAAGGGGCUAAACUGUUUUCAAAGAUAGAUUUGAGGUCCGGCUACUAUCAGUUGCGAGUUUAAGACUCUGAUGUGCCGAAAACUGCCUUCCGAACGAGGUACGGACGUUAUGAAUUUCUGGUUAUGCCUUUUGGACUUACUAAUGCACCUACUAUUUUUAUGGAUUUGAUGAAUCAAAUUUUUAGACAUUAAUUGGAUCGGUUUGUGGUUGUGUUCAUUGAUGAUAUAUUGAUCUACUCCUGUGGUGAAACUGAACAUGCCGAACAUUUGAGACUUGUGUUACAGAAUUUGCAAGAAAAACAGUUGUAUGCGAAGUUCAGUAAAUGUGAGUUCUAGUUACAUGAAGUUAUUUUUUUGGGACAUGUUGUUUCAGCAUCAGGUAUUCGGGUUGAUCCAAGUAAAAUUUCAGCAAUACUUGACUGGAAACCUCCGAGAAACGUUUCUGAAGUCUGAAGUUUUUUGGGACUUACGGGUUACUAUAGGCGAUUUGUGAAAGAUUUCUCUAUGAUUGCAACCUCGAUGACGAAGCUAUUACAGAAAUAUGUUAAAUUUGAGUGGUCUGAAAAGUGCCAGAAAAGUUUUGAUCAGUUGAAAUUCCUUUUGACCGAAACUCCAGUGCUAGUUCAGCCAGAAUCGGGUAAAGAAUUUGUUAUCUAUAGUGAUGCAUCUUUAGAUGGUUUGGGUUGUGUACUGAUGCAAGAAGGCAAAGUUAUAGCUUAUGCCUUGAGACAGUUAAAGCUACAUGAAAAGAACUAUCUGACACACGACCUAGAGUUGGCAGCUAUUGUAUUUGCGUUGAAAAUUUGGCGUCACUAUCUGUUUGGUGAAAAAUGUCAUGUUUAUUCUGAUCACAAAAGCUUGAAGUACUUGAUGACUCAGAAAGAUCUGAAUUUGAGACAACACCGAUGGUUAGAAUUGCUAAAAGACUAUGAACUGGUGAUUGACUAUCACCCAGGAAAUUGACUAUCACCCGGGAAAGGCUAAUGUUGUUGCUAAUGCUCUAAAUCAAAAAUCCCUGUUUUCUUUGCGUGCAAUGAAUGCACAUAUGGUCAUGUCAAAUGAUGGUACGAUAAUAGCCGAGUUAAAAGUAAGACUGUUAUUUAUUCAGCAGAUUUACGAAGCUUAGAAGGUCGAUAAUGAUUUGAUAGUAAAGCGGGCUCAAUGUGAUUUGAACGUUGAUUCAGAAUUUCUAGUGGAUUCUGAGGGAUGUUUGCAAUUCAGAAACCGAAUAUGUGUUCUGAGAAAUACAGAGUUGAUUCAGAUGAUUUUGAAUGAAGCUCAUAACAGUCGGUUAUCUGUUCACUCGGGUAGUACGAAGAUGUGUAAUGAUCUGAAACAGCACUAUUAGUGGCAAGGUAUGAAACGAGACAUUUUUGACUUUGUAUCGAAAUGUUUAAUCUGUCAGAAAGUAAAAGCCGAGCGUCAGGUACCUUCUGGAUUGCUACAGCUGAUCAUGAUACCUGAAUGGAAAUGAGAUAGAGUCACGAUGGAUUUUGUAUCCGGUUUACCGAUGACAUUGAGCAAGAAAGAUGCAAUCUGGUUUAUUGUGGAUAGAUUGACUAAAUCAUCUCACUUUGUUUCAGUUUGUACAGAUUAUUCACUCGAUAAACUUGCUGAGUUAUAUGUUUCUCAGAUUGUGAGACUACACAGAGUACCUAUUUCUAUUGUGUCUGAUAGAGAUCUGAGGUUUACAUCGCGGUUUUGGAAGAGACUGCAAGAUGCAUUAGGUACUAAACUACAUUUUAGCACUACUUUUCAUCCCCAGAUAGAUGGUCAGUCUGAGCGAAUCAUUCAGAUACUUGAGGAUAUGUUGAGAUGUUGCAUUCUCGAGUUUGAAGGUACGUGGGAACAAUACCUACCUCUGAUUGAAUUUACGUACAAUAAUAGCUUUCAAUCGAGUAUCAAAAUGGCACCUUUCGAGGCUUUGUACAGUCAUAAAUGUCGUACACCAUUGUAUUGGACUGAGCUCAGUGAAAAUAAGAUAUCCAGGGUUGAUUUGGUCAGAGAAACUGAACAGAAAGUGAAAGUGAUUCAUGAAAGUUUAAAAGCAGCAUCAGAUCAUCAGAAAUCAUAUGCGGACUUGAAACGUAAAGAUAUAGAGUUUCAAAUCGGGGAUAGAGUAUUUUUGAAAGUCUCACCAUGGAAGAAAAUACUCAGAUUCAGUCAUAAAGGCAAGUUCAAUUAGAGAUUCAAUGGACCGUAUGAGAUUAUAGAGCGGAUUGGGCCGGUUGCGUAUAGACUAUUGUUGCCACCUGAGCUAGAAAUGAUCCACAAUGUAUUCCAUGUUUCAAUGCUUCGUAGAUAUCGAUCUGAUCCUUCACAUGUGAUUAGUCCAUCUGAGAUUGAGAUCAAGCCCGAUUUAAAGUAUGAAGAAGAACCGAUUCGUAUUCUAGCUCGUGAAAUUAAAGAGUUGCGAAAUAAUAAAAUUUCGUUAGUUAAAGUACUGUGGCAUAAACAUGGAGUUGAGGAAGCAACGUGGGAACCAGAAGAUGUAAAGAGAGAACGCUAUCCAAACCUAUUCACCGUUAAGAUUUUCGGGGACGAAAAUCCGUAAGAGGGGAGAGUUGUAACAACCCAAUUUAGACCCUAAUCAGAAUGGUGGUUUCAGGACCACGAAUUCGAGUCAGAAAAAUAUAUAAAUAUUAUUUUUCAUGUUUAUUAUAUGUGAAUUUGCAUGUGUGAAAGUUUCGUAUGAAAAUUUGAUUGUUUGUGUGCUUAAUUUAAUAAAAGGACUUAAUCGCGUAAAUUAAAAACUUGAUAGUGAAAAGCAUAAGGGCCAAAUUGUUAAUGGCUUUGUAAGUUGAAGCAUUUAAGUGGCAAUUUGACCAUAUUUAGUUAGAUGGACGGUUGUGACCAUGCAUUAAAAUGGUUUUAUAUUUUUUAUCUUAAGGUUAAUUUGGUAAAUUAUGAAUUAAUAAUGUUAUAAUAAAACAUAAAAAUAAAACCACCAUGCAUUUGUUCAUCUUUUUGACUGAAAGUUGUGAAAGAAAGAAAAGAAAAUAAGCUAGGUGAUAUUCAGCCAUUUCUCAAGCUUGAUUCAAGGUUAGUUUGGUUUCGGUUUUUGAUAAUUUUUACGUUUUUGAAAUUGUUACUUCGAAUACUAUCUGACCCAUGCUAGAAUUUUUGAUUUUGAUGAAUGUAUUGAGCUGUGCCAUUGAUGAAUAUUUGUGUUUUGUGAUGUUUGAUGAUGAAAUAUUAAAGAUAUGUUUUAGAUUAACAUGCUUUGUAUUGGAGUUUUUGAUGAUUUUGAGUAAUUAGGACUAAAUUGUAAAAAUAAUAAAUUAAGGGACUAAAAUGUGAAAUAAAUGAAAUGUGAGGACUUGUUUGGGUGUGGGGAGUAUUCAGCUUAAGUAUAGCAUGAGCAAAUUAUGCUUGUUUUGUGUUUUAUGCAAAUAGGACUAAUUUGUAAAAGUAUGAAAUAUUAGGGGUAAAAUGGUAAUUUUUCCAUUUAUGUGUUGUUGGAUUAAAUUGAAUGAAAUUGUUUUGAAAUUUUAUAGAUCAAGAACAAAAGAAAUCGGACUUGGAUCGAGGAAAAACAAAAAUAGUCGAAUAGUCGAUUUACAUCGUUCGUCGAUAUCCGAGGUAAGUCUUUAAGCAAUUAAACAUCGUUAAUUUUGAAUGUAAUUUAGUUUAAUAUGCUGAUUUGGAAUUUAUGGAUUUGUAAUAGAGUUAGCCGAAUGUGAUAAAGUAUUUAAAUAAUGUAUUUGAGUUUAACUCGAUUGAGUUAUAACAUUUGAAAGUCCGUAUGAACUAUAUGGAAUAUCUGAAAUGUUUGAUAUAUGAAUUGUUUAUGAGACAACUUUAUAAUAAUGAUAUUCGGGCUUUGAGCCUAGCAAUCCUUGUGCUGGUGAAUUUAAUCGGGCUUGAUGCCUAGCAGGCUUAUUACCGGUGUAUAAAAUCAGACUUUGAGUCUAGCAGGCCUUGUGCCAGUUGUGAUACAGGCUUAGGCCUAGUAGGUUUUAUGUCGAUGAAAUAUUUUAAGUCUAUACCUAAAAGAUUUUAUGUUGAUGUGAUAAAUGAAUAUGUUGAACGAGCUAAAACGAUCAGGUACGUGAUAGUUGGACUACCUAUUUGAAAACAGGAUGAAUUGAUUUCUUGAUAUGUGAUGAAAAAGAAUUCAUGAAUUUAAUGUAGUACAUGUGCUAACGUGAGAAAUAUAUUUGAUCUUAUAAUUGUACAUGAAGGUAUUGUUAAACUUUGAGUGAUGAGUAUAUGUCUUAAAAUAUAUAUGUAAAUUCGAUUAUAUAAAUCAAUGUGGUUUCGAAAUUUGAGAACAUAUUGGUGCUAUAUACUUGUUUAUUCGGCCAAAAAGAAGUUUCCUUAUGAAAGUAUAUGUUUUAUAUGUGUGGAAUUAAAAGUUUGAAAAUAAAGGUGAUUAAAAAUGCAUAAGUUGAUUUAUUUAAUUGAAAUGAUUAGUAAUUAAAUGUUAUUAUGCUUGAAUUGUUUAAUUUGCUUAAGGAAUACUAAGCUAAGUUAGCUUACUUUGUGUAUAUAUAUAUAUUUGUCUUUGUUUUAUAGAUUUUGGAGAUCGUUACAUGCUUGGGGAUCGUCAGUAAAGUCAAUCGUACUAUCGUUUAUUCUCGAUCCCUUUGAAAGUUUUAAAUUCAAACUUAUGGCAUGUAUAGGCUGAAUGAUGUUUUGUUAUGAUGAACUUUGGCUUUGUAUAAAGCCAUGCGAAAAUGGCUUAUUUAAAUUCUUGAAUUUGGUUUUGGUAUAAUGAUGGUUUGAGUCAAUUUUAGUUAUUAUGCAAUGUGUCAAGGAUGAAUGAUACUUGUGAUAUCUAUUUGAGUGUUGAAGAUGCUUGGUAAAUUUGGAUGUGUGCAUUGGAUUGAUUCGGUUAUGGUAUGGAAGAUUCAUGUUUUGUAUAUAUAUAAAUAUAUCUAUUUGAAGUUAAUGGUUUACUCUUGAGAGAUAUAAAAUGUAAUAUGAGUUGGUUUGAAAAUUAUACAAUGAUGUAUCGUGAAUUCAGAUAUAAGAUAAAGGUAUAUGAGGUGGUUAUGUCUAACUUGUGAUUCGGCAAUUGCUUUUAUAAAUAUUCAUGCUUGAUGAAUUGACUUAAUAUGUAUUUCAACUAAAAGUAUACUAUGUAAUAGGUAGGUAAUAUGUAAGAUUAUUUUCGUUUUAGGCAAAGUUUAGAUGACCAAAUUGACGAUAAAUAGGUUAGUUGUAUAUCCGCAUUUUUGGUAAGUGACAUGAGUGCAUUUCAAAUCUUUACUUGCAAUAUAAAAUGGUUAACAAUAAAUAAAUGAUUGAGUUAAAUUUUAGUUUGUGAAUUAAGCUUGAUAAGUUUCGUUAUUAAUGUUCUAUUAUAGUUCAUGUUUAAUAUGGUUAAAAUAUAUAUAAGGUUUAUUUGUUUAAUGAAACAAAUUUGAUUAUUUGUGAAGAUAUGAAUGCCGUGUAUGCUGAUGAUUAAAUUGUCAUGUGUUAGAUUUUUAUUUGAUUUAAUAUGUACAUGUUUUGAAAUAUGUCUUAAAAUAUUUGAUGUUUAACAGAUAUCUGAAUUUGACUUGCAUUUGUAUAUUGUAAUGAUAGAAUUUCGAUUAAUAUUUGUUUGAAAAUUUGUAUAUACAUAUGAAUAUGACUUGUGUGAGUACUUAGAGUUGUGUUUUUGUCCAGUAAUGCCUCUUGACCCUAAUUCGUCGACGGAUACGGGCUAGGGGUCUUACAAAGUAAAUGGCAAAAAAUAAAAAAAUAAAAAACUGGUUUAAAUAGCAAGGCAAAACAGUGCUGUUUUGCACCUAAAGCCCUAACACCAAAACGGCGUCGUAUAUGCCUUGACCCGCGCGAUCCGACCUGCUCCAAGGGGGUUUUGCGCGUUUUUGAGUUAAGGACUACUUGCGCUCGUAGUCCCUUCGAUUUUGGGUUUGUUAUGUUUGGCCCUUUUAUUAUUUUUAUUUUUUUUAUAGAUUUAAUUGCUUAAUUUUAUUUGGUUUUCGAUUGAGUCCUUGGCUCUCUAAUGCUUUGAAAACGGACAUGCAUCCUUAGAGUUAGGGAAUAAUUACAUAUUUAACCCCUGUUCUUUCGCGCGUGUCUUAUCUUAGGCCUUGCUUCCUUUUUUUUGUUUUUUUUAGAUGUGGCCCUUAAUUUUAAUCUUUUUUUUAGUUCGACCCUUAACCCUAUAACAUUAAACUUUUUUUUUAUAUUUUACUUAUUAUAUUUUUUUCAUUUAUUUAUUUUAAACAGUUUUAUAUGUUAUUUAUUUUAGAUUUUUAUAUAUUAAUUCUUUAAACUGUCUUAUGUAUUAUGUAUUUAAAAUUGCUUUACAAAAUUUUUUUAUUUUAAACUUACUUAUUUUAUUUAUUUUUUAAUGCUUUCAUAUAUCGUUUAUUAACCUUUUAUACAUUAUUUACUUUAGAUAUUUUUAUAUAAAUUAUUUAUUUUAAACUAUUAUAUAUUUUAAAUUUUCAUUUAAACUAUUAUAUAUUUUAAAUUUUCAUGUAUAAUAUUCAAUUCAAACUAUUUUAUAGGUUAUUCAUUUAAAAUUUUUGUAUUACUUAUUUUAAGUUGUUUUAUUAUUAUAUAUUUUAAAUUUUUCUUUUUUUAUACAUUAUUUAUUCGAAACUGUUUAUAUAUUAAUUACUUUAAGUCGUUUCAUUUAUUAUACAUUUUAAACCUUUUUUUAUAUAUUAUUUAUUUAAAACUGUCUUAUUAUUUAUUUUAAAUUAUUUUAUAUUAUUUAUUUCAUUUUUCUUUGAUUAUUAAUGUUGGUUUUCUAAAUAAUGUAUGUUAUCUGAUUAUUACCAUUGUGUGAAUACUGUCAUCAUAUGCUUUAGGAAUUAUUUAUUAAUAUUUUCAUGUUGUUGACAUUCAUUGACAUAGCAUUUAAUUCAUGUAUUAUUAUUUCAUGCUCUAUAUUCCCUUUUAUUUCAUUUUGUUUAAAUCAUAUCGCGUAUUAACCUCAAAUGUAUUUAUCCAAAUAUGGACCAUUUUAUUCCAAACAAAAUAAACGCCCAUUGCUAAGUGUUGCUCUUGUUAUUAUUCAAAAAGGAAAAUCUUCAAAAUAAGAUAAUAUUUCGCGUUUCGGGAAUUCAAGAAAUUGUACCCUAACUUACGGGGUUUCGAUUUUCUUGGUAAACCUAAAAAGCUAAAUAUCCUUUUUAGAUUUCAAAAUACGCAAAGUUCUCAAUAAAAAUUAAAUGCAAACUUAUUCCCGAGGAUUAAAACGUCGCAUCUUAACUUACGGGAUGUGACAUUUUGUUAUAUCGGGAUGAGAGGGCCUUUGAUGCUCAUUUUAACUUAAUUCAAGCAUUUUUCAAAACAAACAUUAAUAAAAAUGGAUUGUAUUUUAAUUCUUUUCAAGUUUGCAACAUUUGACAUUAGGACAUUAAUCAAUCAAUUAGGUACCAAAUUUGGGCAUUACGAGGGUGCUAAUCAUUCUUUGUACGUAACCGACUCCCGAACCCGUUAUCUCAAAUUUCUUAGACCAAAAAAUAUUAUUUUAAUAAAUCAAAACUGUUUAUUAAAAACAACCAUUUUACGAGGUGACUUGAUCACACCUCAUCAAAAAAAGAUUGGUGGCGACUCUAUUUUCGUUUUUUUUAAAAAGUUGACUCUUUUUCGAAAAAUGAUUUCAACCGCUUGGCGACUCCACUGGGGACUUUUGAGAGUCAAGCCAUAAAUUGAUUAAUUAUUGUCUUUUGUCAAAAAAUUGAAAAUCCGUUUUAAACUUACAAUCCUUUCAUUGCAUUUCAUUUUUGGGGUUUUCGUCGUUUUGUAUGAUUGGCUUUUGGUUCGAGUCUUAGUAUAAUUUUGCGCAUCAUAUUGCAUAAUUGGUCAAUUUUACCCUUUUAAGUAGGAGUGAGAAACUAUUCCUUCGUGAGGUCUUCACCUCCGUAUAGGAUAGUAGAUUGCUUUUGGGAUACAUCCGUACUUGCACCUUCGUGAGAUUUUUAUCUCCGUAUAGCCGUAGGGAAAUGUAUUCCCCUGAACUGAACUCGGUCCGUAUGAGCCUAUAAUGGGUGAGGAUCGAGGAAUCUUCUGAUUCAGGUACCUUUACUUUUGAACUAAACCACAUGUAAUGAGCCCUAAGAGCCUAUCCUAGGUAGAACCACGCUAAACCCUAGCGGUUACCCGAAUAGGUGCUUGAUUAUUUCCUAUUUGCUUUGAAUUUUAUUUUUUGUAUAUAAUACUGACUUGUUGUGUUUUUCUGUUAUUGCAUGGCAUUACAUUAUAAAAAGGUGUUGAUUCAAAAAGCUUAGCAUUGAAAAGGGGUUUCUUGAUAGAGUGGAGGAUAAUGCGGUCGUCCGAAUAUGGUCCGAGAGGAUGCAGCAAGAGAAAUGUGAUAGUUUGACCGAGGGAUAUGAAUCAGAGUUGUCAAAUUUCACCCGCAUUAGUGUGACUUAGAAUAACCUACAAGAAUUAAAGAAGAUAUGACACCAAUGGAGUGACGAGAUUAAGCAGCUAUUUUACUAUAACUACGGCGACUUGCCCUAUCUACUCGAUAUAAAGGUGGACAAGCAUUUAUUCCAAGCCCUUGCCCAGUUUUGGAAUCCCGCCUACAGUUGCUUCACUUUUGGGAGAGUUGAUUUGGUACCAACCGUGGAGGAGUACAUGGCCUUACUUCGUUGCCUGAGGAUUAAAGCUGACAAAGCUUAUUCCAGAGCUGCUAACGUCCCUACCUUUGUAAAGAAUUGAUGAAUAUCAUGAGGAUGAGUGAGCAGUGGGUUGCAGCUUGGAUUAAGCAAAAAUGAGACAGUAAAUGUAUUCCUUGGAAGAACUUGAGAGAUCUAAUUCUAGCACAUCCGGAUAUGAAGAAGAGGGUUGACGUUUUCGCUUUGAGCAUCUAAGGUUUGGUCAUCUUUCCCAAGGCAUUAGGAAAUGUAGAUGAAGCAGUCUCAGACCUAUUCGAUCGACUUGAUAAAAAGGUCACACCCAUCCCUGCGAUCUUAGACGAAACUUUCAAAUCAUUGAAUGCUUGCCGGAGAGCAGGUGAGGGGAGGUUCAUAGGAUGUGCGCAGCUUUUGCUAUCAUGGUUUCAUAUCCACUUUUGGAGGGUAGAAAAAGUCUCAUAUCGAGUUUUUUUCGAAACUACUCUCCAUUGAAGGAACUAGUGGCUACGCUAAGGCGAGAUGACUUUUCCAAAGAGAAAUGGAUAGCGAUUCUCUAGAAUGUACAAGUUGAAGACGGCGAAUGGAGGGCGCCAUGGAUGAUCCCUGAUGAGAUCUUGUAUCGGUGUGGUGAAUUUGACUGGGUCCCUCUACUUGGGAUAUGGGGAGCUACUGGAUACGGUCUACUACUUGUGCUAAGAUAGUAUCGAUCAAGGCAGUUCAUACCUAUGACACAAGGGUUGGCUCAGUGCAAGUUUUCAUAUAAGAGCGAUAAUUAUAAGAAGAGAGUUCGUGAGAUAUCGAAUGCGUGGAACCAAACCCGUAGACUGAAGGACUCAGGCGAGACCAAUGACGACCCCCGAGUAUGAUUGGUGGUGGGGUAAAAGAAUCAACGACAAUAUCCCAAUGCCAAGUCAAAAAAAUGCUCGACCAAUAGAGGAGCACUUACGAGUAGUCCCGUUUGAAUUAGAAAUCAUCAAGCAAGAUUUUGAGAAAAGGAGUCAAAAAUUGGGCAAGAAAAUAAAGCAGUUAGAGGAGGAAAAGAUGUGGCUAGGACUAGACAUCGACAUCCAUAAGCUAGAGGCUGAGAAACUAAGGAAAGGAAAGAACAAGGCCAAAGAAGAUUUGGACAGUUGGAAAACGUAUUACAAGAAGUUACGUUUGUCAAAAAGAACUGCUGGUUUGGGCAAGACAUUAGAGCAAUGGCAAUAAGAAAUUAAAAAAGAAAAAACUAGAGCCGAUAGUGGGAGAAGAAGUUUCAAGAUGCUCAAACACGGGAUGGUGCUCUAAAAAGGAGUUUGCUAGAUAGCCAAAGUGAAAAGGAGAAGUUAAGAGCUCGGGCGGCAAAGUUAGAAAAGUAAUUACAUCAACAUCGUAGUCGCAACUCCAUCAUCGAAUUAAGGGCCAGCCUAAACAAGAUUGAGGAGUUGAAAGGAAGGAUAGAAGAGCUCGAGAAUGCACUGCGAAAUGGUAAACUUCGAGUUGAACUUCUUGAAGCAAGUAAUGAACAUUGUAAAGAACAACUCCACCGCUCUUAAGAUCAAAUCAGAGAUAGGGAUUAUGUCAUGGGUGAAGCUGUGGCUCAAGUACGAGAAGUGCUGACCAUCUACAAAACCUGGCGGUUCAGGCUAAUGUACUAAGUGUAAAGUAUGAGUUAGAAUCAGGUCAGGGCCGAGAGUUAGCUUGGCUUCUUAGGAAGGUUAAGGCUUUGGGCAUUAGGGCAAAGUCGUAUAUGUAAUCUAUCUUAUGUAAAGAAAUUUGUUUUCUAGCAAAGUUGUUCUAAUAAAAUUGAAUCAGAAUCAACGUCUCUUUUUGUUUUCAUUUCUUUAAUUUGCAUUACAUUUCAUCAUAUGCAUUAAGUUUCAUAAAAAGACCCUAAUUAAACAAAAUUAUUUCAGUUAAUCUGGAAACCAAAAAGUGUCAACCAGCCGAAUAUCGUUACAAUACCCGUCGCAAAACCAAAGCAAAGUAUCAGAGAUUAGAAAGAUUGGAACAAAUGCAAAGAGAUAUACAAUAGCAAUUGCAAACACAGAUGCAAGAGCAAUUGGCUAGAAUCGAACAAGACAUGAGGGAACAAAUGCAAGAAUCCCAGAAUAAUAUGAUAAGUCAAUUGGCACAGUUGCUGGUUAGAGAACGCGAAAAAGGGAAGGGUAUUGCAGUUAACUCGGGGAACGAUAAUGAAAACCUUGCCUAUCCCUCGGGUUUUGCUCCAGUCAAUUGCCAACCACAACCAGAGGCGUACCCACGGGGGGUACCACUCAUUAUCAAGCCCCAGUAAUAUCAGGCUGGUGCCUCGACACCGAUGAACUUUCCAACAGGCUCGGGCUCCAAUCCAAGGGAUAAUCCAACUAAUCCAGUUGUUUCUAACCUUGAUGAUGUAGCAGAAAUAGAAAAAGUAAGAGUAGAUCUACCAAAACAACUCGAGGACUGUUGCAAAUGGCUUGAAGAGAAAUUCAAAGCAAUGGAGACUGUUGACUACCAUUGCGGGGUUGAUGCCAAAGAUUUGAGCUUGGUCCUAGAUUUGAUCCUCCCACCAAAAUUUAAAACUCUAGAGUUUGAAAAAUACAACGAGACUAGCUGCCCCGAAGCCCACAUCACAUUAUUCUGUCAAAGGAUGACAGGAUACAUUAAUAAUGAUCAGUUAUUAAUUCACUACUUCCAGGAUAGUCUGGUUGGGUCUGCGGCCAAAUGGUACAACCAGCUAAGCCGUACCCAAAUUAAUUCAUGGAAAGACUUGGCACAAGCUUUCAUGAAGCAAUACGGCCACGUAACAGACAUAGCACCUAACCAAAUCACGUUACAAAAUAUGGAAAAGAAACCAAAUGAGAGCUUCAGGUAGUAUGCCUAAAGAUAGAGAGAGAUAGCGAUGCAAAUCCAACCACCUUUCUUAGAGAAGGAAACGACCAUGCUUUUUAUCAAUACUUUGAAGGCUCCAUUCAUUAACCAUAUGCUAGGAAGCGCUGCUAAUAGCUUUUCAAAUAUAGUGAUGUCUAGAGAGAUGAUAAAAAAUGCGCUAAGAUGUGGGAAGAUAGACGUGGGUUAGAGUACCAAGAGAUCAGCCCCGAAAAAGAAGGAAAACGAGAUAAAUAAUGCGAGCACAUACAACAAGGGUUAUUCAAAACCCAUUACUGUAAGCCAGCUAAGGACGGUGACUACUAGCCAUCAAGGCCCUCCAAGGCAAGAAUCCAACCCGAGGCCAAAUAUAGAGAGGCUCCAGUUUACGCAUAUUUCGAUGUCAUAUAGGGAGUUGUAUCAGAUUCUAUUCGAUGCUCAUGUAGUGUUCCCUUUCUACUUGAAGCCUAUGCAACCUCUGUUCCCAAAAUGGUAUGAUGCAAAUGCCCAAUGUGAGUACCAUGCAGGGAUAAUCGGGCACUCGAUCAAGAACUGGACUAUGUUUAAAAAUUUGAUAGAAAGAUUUAUCAAAAUGGGUAUCGUAAAGUUUGACACCUAUCAGGACCCAACGUAGCAAGAAAUCCAUUGCCCGAUCAUGUUAAUAAAGGGAUAAAUGUGAUAGUCGAGAGCGGGGGCAAAAGAAUCAAGGCCAAUGUGGCAGAAGUAAAAACCCCACUGAGUUGGGUUCGGAAAUAAAUGGUCGAUAGAGGUUUGAUCAUACAACAUUCAGGGGAAAGACCUAGAGAGGCGAGAAAAUAUGUGAGUUUCAUGCCGAUGAGGGUCAUGACAUCCAAGAGUGCAAUGAGUUCAGGUCUAUAGUCCAAAAUCUAAUGGACAAUAAAGAGAUGGAAUUUUAUGAGAAAACCAAAGGAUUAGAAGAAUGAGAGGUUUACACCUCAGAGGAG
rnacentral:lncRNA from 1 species